CCAAUUACUAAACCAAAGAUACCACCUCUGUUUCAUCUGCUACAUCAAAACGGAUAUCAAAAUAGUGUCUCAGGCUCUCAGCACAGAUUGACAAACUACAUGAUGACCAAUAUAGUUCAGAGACAGGUGCAUUCGACAACUAAAACGAAGCAAAAUAUUCAAGUCGUUCCCAUUACAGUACACGAAUUGACGAUUAAACCAGCAGGUGUAACAGUAGAACAAACAACCAAAAAUUUAGAGCUUGUCCUCAAACUCAGAGAGAGGGGUCAUCUGUUCCUUGAGACCCUUCCUCUUGCGGAUAUCCAGCACCAGCUGAGCAGCCUGGGAGCCAGCCUCCAAAGGAUCAGAGCCCAUCAUGUCCCAAUGGUCAAAGACACACUGGGGGAACGCCUGACCAGAGGUUGCAGCCCUCAGUUGGCUGGAGAACCCAAACGACUCGAUGACAGGGAGGUAAGCCUUGAUGUUGUAGAGCGGGGUACCCGGCCUCUGCAUCUCCUCAAACACAUGCCCUCUCUUCUGGUUCAGAACACCGUAGAUACCACCAAGUGCAUUUUCUGGGGCCUGAAUCUCCACCAGGUACACUGGCUCCAGCAGCCUUGGCUUGGCCGUGAGCUGAGAAGCAUAGAUGACCCUCCUGGCAGUUGGGAUGACCUGGCCACCACCCCUGUGGAUAGCAUCAGCAUGAAGAACGACAUCACAGACCUCAAAGCAAAUUCCGCGCAUGUUCUCCUCAGCCAGUGCACCCUCCUUUGAUGCCCACUGGAAACCAGCCACGACAGAAUCCUUGAUUUCAUUGAGAUACUGCACUCCCUUACACAUAUCAACAACCAUGUUUGGGCCAGUGGUCUCAGGUCCAAAACACCAAAUCUUCUUGGCGAGAUCCUUGUCCCACCCAAACUCCUGAGAGAGGAUCUGGGAGCGCACCUUAGGAUCAUCACGUGGGCCAAUGCGGCCAUCAUCGAUGGCCUCAGCGAGACCCUCCUCCAAGGGGCGUGCUUCCAUGUACAGACGGUUGUGCUUGUUGGGAGACUUGCUCAUGACAGUACGGCAGGACUUCUCAAGAACGGUUUCCCGGAAGGACACAACAGGAGGGGAAACAAUAAUUUCAGCACCACCCAUGAAGUCCUCCUGCAGAUCCUUCAGGCAAAUCUCAAGAUGAAGCUCACCAGCUCCAGCAAUGAUAUGCUCACCAGACUCUUCGAUUGUACAGAGAACCAUAGGAUCAGACUUCGCCAGACGCUUCAAACCUUCGACUAGCUUGGGAAGGUCAGAGGCAACCUUGCACUGAACAGCAACACGCACAACAGGGGAGACAGAGAACUUCAUUGCUCUGAUCGGGCAUGCAUCAACCUCCUUCUCAUUAGUGAGUGUAGCGUUCUUCGUGAUGAACUGGUCCAGACCAACCAUAGCAACAGUGUUGCCACAAGGAACAUCCUCAACUGACUCUUGUUUCUUUCCCAUCCAGAUAACGGUACGCUGGACACUCUUCACAUACAGAUCCUUCUUCUGCCCAGGGACAUAGUUGGGACCCAUGAUCCGAACCUUCAUACCAGUAGCAACCUUCCCUGAGAAGACACGACCGAAGGCAAAGAACCUGCCCUUGUCGGAUGCUGGAAUCAUCUUCGAAACAUACAGCAUAAGAGGGCCCUCCGGAUCACAGUUUCUGAUGGCAGUUGCAUAGACAUCAUCAAGGGGCCCCUCAUACAAGUUCUCCACACGAUACUUUUGAGCCUUUGCCGGGGAAGGAAGGUGGAAUAUCAUCAUCUCGAGCAGUGCAGUGCUUGCUGGUAGCCACGUUUGCAUAACACGCUUCAUCAAAGCUUUGCCAAUCAAUUCCUUCUCAUCAGACUUCAUGGUAACAUUGAGCUUUUGCAGCAUGGGCCACAAUUUCUCCUUCUGGUCGUUCAUGCAGGUGUUGAUGAUUUGCUUGAUUGGCUCAUAGCAGAACUGAACAAAUCCUCUCUUGCAGGUAGGGGAGCCUGUGUUCUUGGUUGUCCAUUUCUUGGUGGCAGGGUCAAAGAAGUUCUCACCCCAAAGCCUCUCCAUCAUCUUAGAUUCAUCAACUCCAAACUUAGAUGCAUACAUCUUGGCAAAGUUAGUGAGGGUAAAGGCCCAUCCGUGCAGACCAGCAGAAAAAGCAACAGUCCCCUUCUCUGGGUACACUUGGACGUCACCAAGGAGCUUAUCUUCGUAUGUUGCCAUGAUGACAUUGGCAUUCUCAAUGACACGGGAGAAGGUCUGGUAAGCUUCCUCGCCCUCAACCUGAAGCUCAAGGAAGCACCUGUCCAUCUUGUUCACGGUAAGAACUGGCCUAAUCCUCUCACCAAGGGCUUGGCGAAGCACAGUUUCAGUUUGCACACAGACACCUUCAAUACAGUCAACCACCACAAGAGCACCAUCGGUGAUGCGAAGAGCAGCUGUGACUUCCGAAGAAAAAUCAACGUGCCCAGGCGAGUCAAUAAGGUUGAUCAGGUAUUGGUUACCAUCUCUCUCACCCUUGUAAUUCUUCAGUGACUCGUCAGUCAUCUCAUAGUAAAGAGAGAUACCGGUAGAUUUGAUUGUAAUACCACGCUCUGCUUCAUCUGCACGAGUAUCAGUCAUGCGAACAUCACCAGCAACUUCCUGGGCAAUAAUCCCAGCAGCUGCCACAAGGGAAUCUGUAAGCGUAGACUUGCCUGCAAAGAAUUUAUAAUAGCAUAUAAGAACAGCAAGGAAAUUCAACAUGUGCAUCAUAUGGUAGUACAAUAUUAGGGACAGACAAGCAAAUCAAAAGUUAACAAACACAGUAGUAGAUUACAAUCUAGAGUAUAUAAUUAUGAACAGAUACUAUGUAAACCACCAUAUCUAAAAUAUACAAUGUAUUUCCUACAUGUGAUAAAUAUCUGAACAUAAGCAGUUAACUAUGCCUAAAAUAGAUAGUGCAGCGAGAAAAGAAACAUUAGCUGUAACAGAGCUUAAAUGUUGAAAACAUAAAAGUUAACAACUCAGUAGUAGUAUAUUACAAUCUAAUACAUACAGCCAGCAGAUAGUAUGUAUACCACAAUAUCCAGACAAAAGCAAUACAUUAACUGUAGAUGAAAAAAGCAAUUAGGGGAUAAAUGUCUGUGAUAUAGGCCUAUAGUAGAUAAUGCAGCAUGAAUAGAAGCAUUAGCACUCAGGCACAAUAGAGAGCUUAAAUAUUGAAACAAAAUUAAUCUUGACAUCAAAAUCAAAAAGGCUUGAAAACAUUAAGGAAUGCAUGUAUAUAUAUGCUAUCUAACAGAGCAGUGUUCUGAACAUACCAUGGUCCACAUGAGCAAUAACAGACAUGUUACGAAUGUUGUUCUUUUUGUCCAUGAUACCACGGAGCUCUUCAGCUGUGAACUUCACCAUCUUGACUUCUUAUAAAGGUCACGCUACGAAUACCAAUAUUUAUUCCUGCAGUUGAAAGUUCAGGUAUUACUAAGAAUACAAUAAUAAACAUGAGAAAAUAACUAUACUGAAAACUUUGACAUUGACAUCAGCAGCAAAGAAGUAAUAACCACUACAGUUGUCAGGAACAAAGAGAGGGAAAUUAUUAACCAUUUCAGAAAGUUAAUAAAAAUGUUUUAACAUGCAGUAUUUGUCAGGAUACAGUAUUCCAUUAAUAUACACCAUACUCAUACUUCACAGGAUUGUGAGCACAAAAGGCUAAGAAAAAAGUAAACUGAAAACUCAUACUUCACAGGAUUGUGAGCACAAAAGCCUCGUUAAUCUAAGAUCUACAGCACAACUUAUUUUCCUCAAAAAAAAGAGAGAGACCAUCGAAGUAACACACGAAACAAUCAAAUAAUAGCAAUUUGGGCUCGAGCCGCUUGCAUAGCAUAUGCACGGAUAUGGACACAGUAUCAGGAGGAUACGGAUAUAGAGAUACGAUAUUUUUUCUUUCAGAAAACAUGAUACGAGCACAUAGCAGGAAAAUAAAACUGUCCUAUAUCCUAAAAGCAGUUGCAACGUAGCACCAAUAACCAAAAAAAUGCAGUUUAUUGCGGUUGACCUGUUAUAGCUGCUGGAUCCCGUCCACGAUCUUACAAGUGACCAGACCAAACAAGUGACCAGACCAAACAGACAAUUCGAGUAACUAAGAAUAAGGACAGGAUCCCGUCCACAAUCUUACAAGUGAUCACAGACAAUUCGACUAAGGGACAAGGGACAGUAACAGGGUAAGGGAGAGGGGAAAGAGAAGAAGCUGUUUUGUAGUCGAUUUACCGUGGGCGUCGCCGGAGAUAGAGCUCGCUGCCGGCGCCGGAUCGCGUCGCAGGCGCGGGGGCGGGCGGCGGCUGCGGUGCGGUAGAGAUGGGUGACUGGGGGAGGUGAGCAGAGAUAGGGUUUUCUGUGCUCUUUGUAUAGUAUAUAUAUAGGGGGUUAAUGGGCCAAACGUUUAACGGCCCACAAACUUAAAUGGUCCAAGAGACGUUGGCCCAAAUAUCCGAUUUGUUGAAAAAAAUUAUAAAAUCGGAUUUAGGUGUUCUCUUAUAAAAUUGCAAAACUAGCAUCUUGUCGCUAUUCAACGGCCGAUAGGACACCUGUUGGCUAUCGAAAACUAGUUGGUCCUCCAAUCGGCUCGUCAUUGGCCGAGGCCAGUCUCUUUACUAUUUUGGUUUUAAGAAAUUUUUUUAUAUUAGCCCUUGUUUAGUUUCCAAAAAGUGCAAAAAAAAAUUCAAGAUUCUCCGUCACAUCAAAUCUUACGGCGCAUGCAUGGAGCAUUAAAUAUAAACAAAAAUAAAAUUAAUUGCACAGUUUACCCGUAAUUUGCGAGACGAAUCUUAUGAGCCUAGUUACUCUAUGAUUGACAAUAUUUAUCAAAUACAAACGAAAAUGCUACAGUAGUGUUUUCCAAAAAAAAAUUGGCAACUAAACCAGGCCUAAGCAAAAUAUAUAAAGACCCCCAAAAAAUUAUUAACAAAUAGUUCAGCUAAUCUUUUUAGGAUCUGUUCAUCGAUGGUUUAACAAAUCAAAUGUGAAUAAAUAGUACGCAUGCCAUUAGUGGAAACCCUACGUGAAAAAUAGUCUCUCUCACAUCAUAACCAUUAGUUGACGUAUUAUUUGAUAUAUUGACAACUAGCUUCUCGUCGCCUCCAGCAUGAACAAUCAUGAGCUCUAGAAUUUUUUUAGCCCAAUAAACUAAUAUUUUUAAAAAACAUCACAACUAAAUUUUUAGAAACUACUCGAUAUGGAUUUUGUGCUAGUCAUUUUUUUAGGUUUGAUUAGGUUUUAAAAAUAUUAAAAAUAUUUUUAUCUUUAAUAAUUUUAUUAUGAAAAAUAUAUUCAAUGACUUAUCUAAUGGUACUAAUUCUGCAUGACAAAUAAUAUUAUUUUCUUACAUAUAUUUUAUCAAAGUAAAAAAAUGACUUAUCGAAAGAUAGAGGAAGUAGCUCUUUUAGCCACGUCAAAAUUAAACUGCCAUCCGUCAAUCUUUUUUCAAUCAUCCAUUUUAUCGGCCGAGCAUCUCCCAUUUUUCUUAUAUAAAAUACAAAAAAAAAAUCCGGACUCACUUCCUCUACCUUUGUCGAUCGUGCAUCACACUAUAAAAAGAGCGAGUUUUUUUAGGGAGCUCUCCCUCUCUAAUAACCGUUCGAUCUAAACGUCGUGCUAUAUGUGCCUUCUGUCACCCGUGAUCUUACAUAAUAUAAGAUAUAAGAUUCCUCCUAAACCAAGAUUCCUCCUAGAUUCCAAAAACGGAAUAUAAUAGUCCAUAUUUGCAUAUUGGAGUCCAAUUCCAAUCCGCAUGCAUAGCUUUUCUGAUUUUUUAAGUCCAAUUCAUUAGCCGUUUCGACUUUUUUAAUUUCAAGAAAGAAUUAAGAGCAUAUUUUCUUUUUACCGUGCAUGCUUAAGAUCGGGCAUGCAUGAUCACUUGUUCAAGAAUAUACAUACAAGAUCUACCGGCAAUAGGAAGUCAAAUCAAAUUGAGAUAUAUUCACGCCAAUUUUAAAAAAUCAACCUAUUCAUGACAAUGUGGUAUGAGAUGACCCGUAUGAAUUCUCCUGCGUGAAUAGCGUUGAUCAUGAUUGGUCUUUGAGUCAAUCGGCAACGAAACAAACUUAAUUGGAGAGGCUAGAGCUGGGUUAAGGAGAAAUCUUGGUUUAAUAGGAGUCUUGUAUCUUUCAUGUAAGAUUGAUUUUCCUUUUUUAGGUAUACGAGGAAUCUUGGUUUAGAAAAAGUUUUACAUUUUACAUAUAAGAUCACAGAUGACAAAUGACUCAUAUAGCACGACAUAUAGAUCGAACAGAGAGCCUCCUUGAAAAAACUCACCGCCGCUGGCCGCGGAUUGUUCGAAAAAAGAAAAAAUAAUAUACAUCAAGAUGCAUACAUGCAACUAAUAAAUAAAUUAAUUGGAAAAAGAAAAAUAUGGAUGCGUGGAUGCAACUAUAAUAAAUAACAUCAAUAUGAAUGCAUGCUGGCGUAUGUAUUAGCAAUUAAAAAGAAAAAUAAAUUUGAACACACGUGAUUUUAUUUAUUAUGAUAAACAAGAAAGAAAAAACUAGCAAACGUUUUACAUUGUUUAUAGUACCAUAUUAUGAAUGAAUAAGUGAAAAUAAAAUCAAGGAACAUCUGAUAAUACAAACACGUGCGUGACGCACGUGCAUAUUUGCUAGUGUUUGAAAUCUCCCACUAUAGGUUUCUGCUCGGACUGGGUUCAGCUGAUUAUGAAGUGCGUUAUCUCUGUGUCGUAUCGGCUGAAAGUAAACGGCAACCGGUCUAACAGUUUUGUGCAAGAGCCUGGUCUACGGCAGGAGGAUCCACUCUCCUCCUAUCUAUUCCUACUCGGUGCAAAAGGCUUCAGUGGUUUUGUUGAAGGAUGCUGAACCAAGGGGUAUGAGAGUGUGUCCGAGAGAAUGCCAUGCAUUUGAAGUCUAUUCUACAGCUGUAUGAGAGUGUGUCCAGGAGAAGUCUGCUGUUCUCCAGUCAAAAAAUUGAUGAACCCUGAUUCGCUAUGUGCCCAAGUGCUGCGAGCAAGAUACUUCUCUGAUGGUGAUGUGCUACGAGCCAAACCGAAGAGGAUCAUGUCCUAUACUUGGCGCAGUAUCUUGGCCGGGAUCGAGGUGCUUAAGAAGGGACUGAUCUGGACAAUUGGUGAUGGAAUAACUACCGCUACAUGGACUGAUGAUUGGAUUCCAAGGGAUCAUUUGAGAAAACCAUACACGCCGAGGGCUGCUGACACGAGUGCAUGAACUUCUUGAUCCAACAAUGGACUGAUGAUGUGCUACUUUUUGGCAGGAAGACGAGCGAGGUCAUAUUGAGCAUCCCUGUUCAUGACAGGGAAUGGAUGACAUGAUUGCUUGGCACUACAACAAGACUGGCAUCUCCUCUGUAAAGUCGGCCUACAAAAUCCAAGUUGCCAACAGGGAAAAAAGCAAUGCAGAGCUAGGAGUGGUGGGUCAGUAAUGCUAAUGGCGAUCAGCUGUGGAAGAAGCUAUGACAAGUAGACUGUCCAAAGAAAAUGUUGCACUUUAUGUGGAGACUGUGUCAUAAUAGUUUGGCCUUGCGUGUCAACCUAAAACGCCAGGGUAUCAAAUUGAAUCCCUGCUGUGUUCUCUGUGGGCGGUGUCUGGAUGAGGAUGGAGCUCAUUUAUUUUUCAAGUGCAAAGAUGCAAAGAGAGUAUGGGAAGAUAUGCAGCUCCAUGGUGUGAGGGAUCGGCUUGCACAAGCCAUCACGGCAGUUCUGAAACUGAAGGAAGAAGUGCAGCGAAGGGUGAUUACUUUCAUGUACAUUUGGUGGUCGGAACAAUGCAGAGUUCACGAAGGGGAUGCACAAAGGAGUCCAGAACAGAUCGUCCAGAUAUACUGUAAUAGUCAGUUGCUACUCCGAAGAAUGGGCUUCUCUGAAGAAUAUUUAGGCAGCACCUAUCUCCACUAUAAUUGAAAAACUUUUUGGAACCAGACAAACUUACUCCCCCAACAAACUCAUCCCACCGCAGUCCACUAAUCCGGCCCACUAAUGUUCACCGUAACCAAUCCUCACGCCGCGGUCUCUCCAGGUCAAUCACGGUUCAUCUCAAAAUUGAAUCCACUCCGCCUGCCGUCCAUUUGAAACCACCACCUGCCGUUCAUUUGAAUCCACUCAUCUGCCGCCACAAUCUACGCCUCCCUUCCUCUUCCAGCGUACCAGCGAUCUACGUACAAGCAGAGCACAUACAAGCAGGACACCGCCAAGAGCACGUACUUGACGUCGGCGCCGCCACAUCUACUCUUGUCCUCCACAACGACACGGCGGACGGCAGGGAGACGGACUUUGGAUCGGCAACAGUCAGGUGAUUUUGUGAUUCAUAUACAAGAGCGUACAAACGGUAAAAAAAUAUAAUGCUUUUGCAGAUUAUUUUUGGCUUUUGAUCUUUAGUGUAGACUGUAGGUUACGUUUUACUACCUGCAGGCAAUUUUUUUAUCUUCCUCUAAAUAAUACAAGUAGUAACUAAUAGUACAAGUAUGCGCCGAUCAUUAUAGUGCUUAGGUGUUGCCCCUGCUGCAUGUCAUAAAUUAAACCAUCUAAUCGUCUUGCUUAGGUCCCUGACGGCAACAUGAAACCAUUAGUGAUCUCAGCAUGCAUGGUCCUGUAGUAUAUGCAUAUACAUCUGAAUGGUUGCAUGUACAUCUAAAUCUAUAUACAUAUACAUCUGAAUUAUUCCAUGGUUUCAGAUAUUUUACAAUAGUUGGAUCAUGAAUCAUUUAACAUGGAUUCUGAAUGGUUCCAUGGUUUCAGAUAUUUUAUAUCUGAAAUAUUAUUAAUAUUUUACAAGAGGAAAAAGAGUUGGAUCAAGAAUUAUUUAAUAUGGGUAUUCGGAUGCUCGCGCGCUGACAAAACAAAAAUACCACCUCAUGGAUCUUAAAUUUGUUGUAAGUUGUUAUAUAUAAAUCAUUAUAAAAUAGUAUAAUUCAUUAAAAAUUGCUAAUUUCUACAAAUUCAACAGGAAAUAAUUAGGUUUGAAUGAGAUCCACGAUGUUGUGGACCGGUUAACAAAGUAUAUUAAGAAAAACUGAAAAAAGUACUUGAGUGUUGGCCUGACAUACAAUAUCACAUAAAUGACUGUAGCAAUGUAAGUUAAGUUUUAUUUACUAUAUACUUUGUUUAAUUAAUUUUUUGCACUUACCAAUCAAAUAUUCUAUUUAUGUGUCUUAGAUUCUACUACCGUAUUAUCGAGACGGACUGUAUAUUUUAUUCAUAAUAGACAUGUAAAACAAAAUUGUGCGUAUUAUGGAUCCACUACAAAGACAAACUGCUUUGGCUGGUUUUAGUCAAGAUAUGGUAUAUACAACUACAUUCCAAGCUAUUGCUACAAUGUUCACGUUCGCCAUGAAACUAUCAAAAUCAAAGAGGAACCACUGUAUAUCUUCAUGGCGGCGAGAAUACCCUGCAUGCGUGACAAAGGUUACAUCAAACCACAAAGACUGGUAUUACUUUUGGUUCAACUUUGUUUUAGUUGUAACAAAUAUUUCAGUUUUGUAUGCCAAAUAAACAAUUGAUCUUGUACAGGAACUGGGAGGAUUUCUUGUAUACAAUUUCACGAAGUUGUGGGAUGAUGUAAAAUUGUCACCGAUCAAUAAUGUAAGCAUAUGCAGUCUCCAACUAUAUUUGCAUCAAUACACGAUUAAAUAUUAACAUAAUAAUAUCUGUCAUUCACAGCUGUCAAGAUCACUAAGGACGGAGUUCUUGGCUGACAUUUUGGCGAGUCAUGCAAACAAGUGCUACGACAACAUCCCUGAAGAUAUCCAAUAUUUGAUUAAAAAGUUAGGAAAAUGUAAAGAUAUCUUUAUGUACUGAUGGUUCAUAAAAUGUAUAUAGACUCAAAAACAAUUGUUCAAAAUUAAAAUUCUAAAAAAAUUACUAUGAUUUAUAUAGCAUUUCCUAGCCUUUUCUCCGUUCUGACAAACAUGUAGGGUUAGUCGCGUGCCACCGCUUCUCCACGAGUCGGAACGGAGACACUAGGUCUUGUUUACUUCUAUUUUUUUUUAAAUAGGAAUAGUAACAUUUUCGUUUGUAUUUGACAAAUAUUGUCCAAUUAUGUACUAACUAGGCUCAAAAGAUUCGUCUCAUCAAUUUCGACCAAACUGUAUAAUUAGUUUUUAUUUUUUAUCUAUAUUUAAUACUUCAUGCAUACGUACUAAACAAGGCCCUGAUCCCCUUCUCUCCUUGCACCUAUAACAUGCUAGGGGCAUGUUAGUCUUUUUUUACGAGUGGCCCCAUUCGACGGUUCACGGUCUGUUUAGAUUCAAAUCUUUACAUCUUAAAUAGGUGUUUAAAUCCUUCUUAAAUUUUUUUUAUCUGCAACACAAGACACGAGUCCCUAAGCAAGUUUACACAGUUUUAGGGCUCUAAGAGCAUCUCCAAGAGAUUAGCCAAAUCAUUUUCUAAAGGUAAAUUUGGCUAUUGUUGAAGGAAAAACUUCUCCAACAGAUUUUGUAAAUGACGGUUCAAAUUUAGCAGCUCUCCAUUCCACCUUAUUCGCUCUCUACUUUUAGAUAGCCUACCUCACUAGUCAUUCUUUUAUACAGUCUGUUGGAGUACUCUAAUAUCUUUUUAUCAAAUCUAUUUUAGAGAGCAAUUAAAUCAGUAAAUUUGCCUAGUCUUUUUGGCUAAUCUCUUGGAGAUGCUCUAAGGUCCCAAAUUCCAAAUCUUUACAACCCAAGUUUUACAAGCCCAUGUUUAGAUCUAUUCUUCCAAAAAAUACUCAUUUCUCUAAAAGUUUUGGCUGUAUCUAAACAGGGCCUCGAUGUUAUGGUAGUGUCAUUUUGGGAACAGAAAUUUUAAGGAAGGGUAAAAGAAAGAUUUGAAGUUUCGAUGUCAAAUGGGGAACAACAUUUUUUUAAUGUCAAAUAAGGAUUUUUCUCAUUUAUAGAACUGAGUUACGAUUUUAUAAACAAAUUCAUGCAUGCAUUAAACCCGUCACCUGAGAUAAACCAAAGGAGCACAUACAAAACUAGACAAAACGACCCAAUAAAAAUAGGAAUGAUUCCUAACUCAUGUUCUUAACAAGUAAUUACCCUAUAUCCAAAACUAGACAAGGAAAAAUACGACUGUCCAAGAAAUUGCUUAACUGAUAUCCUAGCUGAUAGCUACAACAUCCAACCCAAAAAUGAGGGUAAUUUUUUGUUGCUCAUUGUCAAGCCAACGUCCAGGCCUAAACUUCACACUCCAACAGAGCCUAGUGUAAUAGCCCAAAAAUUUCUAACCUACCAUGAAUCACACAUGUGCAACACAUUUAGCAUACAUUUGAAUGUUUUUAAUUUAAUUUGAAAAUAAUCCUAAAUUUGAGCAUGCUUCAUUAAGGAACUUUGAGUUUCACUUAAACAUGCAUGCUAAGAAAUUACAUGACAAACUACUAUUUUUCAAACUAUAAAAAUAGAUAUUUUUUCUUGAUUUUUGCGAAAACAUUUUAGGGCUAAAUAGCUUAACCAAAAUCUUAAACAUAAGUAUAUAACAUUAAGCAAAAUUACAAAGGUUAUUAUGAUGCAAGAUAAAAGUAAAAUGGGCCAUGCAUGUUUUUUGGCAUCUACCUAAAAAGUUAUAAGAUUUUACGAGAUUUCUCUGUACAACCGAAUCAUAAAUAUACGCGGCUCAUCAUGGACACAUCCCAAAAAAUUUGGCCAUUUAAACCUAUCUUAAUUCUAUGCACCCUACAGCCGAAUCAUAAAUAUACGGGACUCAUCAUGGACACGUCAAUAGAAAUAUCAAAAGAGCUGCAAAAAUGACUAUACACUUCACAUGGAAAAGGCAAGGAAACAACCAACAAAAGGGUGAAUUUAACUGACAGAUCAGGCAAAGCGUUAUUAAGACAAUAGAAAUGAGCAACACAGGGAAUACAAGUAUGUAACCACUAACUAAACCACACAGAUACCAACUCCGUUUCAUCUGCUACAUCACACCAGAUAUCAAAAUGGAGUCUCAGGCUCUCAACACAGCAGCAUACACUACAUGACCAAUAUAGUUCAGAGACAGGUACAUUAACUAAAACGAGAGAAAAUAUUCAAGUCGUUCCCAAUACAAUAGACAAAUUGACGAUUAAACCAGCAAUAGUAACAGUAGAACAAACAACCAAAAAUUUAGAGCUUGUCCUCAAACUCAGAGAGAGGGGUCAUCUGUUCCUUGAGACCCUUCCUCUUGCGGAUAUCCAGCACCAGCUGAGCAGCCUGGGAGCCAGCCUCCAAAGGAUCAGAGCCCAUCAUGUCCCAAUGGUCAAAGACACACUGGGGGAACGCCUGACCAGAGGUUGCAGCCCUCAGUUGGCUGGAGAACCCAAACGACUCGAUGACAGGGAGGUAAGCCUUGAUGUUGUAGAGCGGGGUACCCGGCCUCUGCAUCUCCUCAAACACAUGCCCUCUCUUCUGGUUCAGAACACCGUAGAUACCACCAAGUGCAUUUUCUGGGGCCUGAAUCUCCACCAGGUACACUGGCUCCAGCAGCCUUGGCUUGGCCGUGAGCUGAGAAGCAUAGAUGACCCUCCUGGCAGUUGGGAUGACCUGGCCACCACCCCUGUGGAUAGCAUCAGCAUGAAGAACGACAUCACAGACCUCAAAGCAAAUUCCGCGCAUGUUCUCCUCAGCCAGUGCACCCUCCUUUGAUGCCCACUGGAAACCAGCCACGACAGAAUCCUUGAUUUCAUUGAGAUACUGCACUCCCUUACACAUAUCAACAACCAUGUUUGGGCCAGUGGUCUCAGGUCCAAAACACCAAAUCUUCUUGGCGAGAUCCUUGUCCCACCCAAACUCCUGAGAGAGGAUCUGGGAGCGCACCUUAGGAUCAUCACGUGGGCCAAUGCGGCCAUCAUCGAUGGCCUCAGCGAGACCCUCCUCCAAGGGGCGUGCUUCCAUGUACAGACGGUUGUGCUUGUUGGGAGACUUGCUCAUGACAGUACGGCAGGACUUCUCAAGAACGGUUUCCCGGAAGGACACAACAGGAGGGGAAACAAUAAUUUCAGCACCACCCAUGAAGUCCUCCUGCAGAUCCUUCAGGCAAAUCUCAAGAUGAAGCUCACCAGCUCCAGCAAUGAUAUGCUCACCAGACUCUUCGAUUGUACAGAGAACCAUAGGAUCAGACUUCGCCAGACGCUUCAAACCUUCGACUAGCUUGGGAAGGUCAGAGGCAACCUUGCACUGAACAGCAACACGCACAACAGGGGAGACAGAGAACUUCAUUGCUCUGAUCGGGCAUGCAUCAACCUCCUUCUCAUUAGUGAGUGUAGCGUUCUUCGUGAUGAACUGGUCCAGACCAACCAUAGCAACAGUGUUGCCACAAGGAACAUCCUCAACUGACUCUUGUUUCUUUCCCAUCCAGAUAACGGUACGCUGGACACUCUUCACAUACAGAUCCUUCUUCUGCCCAGGGACAUAGUUGGGACCCAUGAUCCGAACCUUCAUACCAGUAGCAACCUUCCCUGAGAAGACACGACCGAAGGCAAAGAACCUGCCCUUGUCGGAUGCUGGAAUCAUCUUCGAAACAUACAGCAUAAGAGGGCCCUCCGGAUCACAGUUUCUGAUGGCAGUUGCAUAGACAUCAUCAAGGGGCCCCUCAUACAAGUUCUCCACACGAUACUUUUGAGCCUUUGCCGGGGAAGGAAGGUGGAAUAUCAUCAUCUCGAGCAGUGCAGUGCUUGCUGGUAGCCACGUUUGCAUAACACGCUUCAUCAAAGCUUUGCCAAUCAAUUCCUUCUCAUCAGACUUCAUGGUAACAUUGAGCUUUUGCAGCAUGGGCCACAAUUUCUCCUUCUGGUCGUUCAUGCAGGUGUUGAUGAUUUGCUUGAUUGGCUCAUAGCAGAACUGAACAAAUCCUCUCUUGCAGGUAGGGGAGCCUGUGUUCUUGGUUGUCCAUUUCUUGGUGGCAGGGUCAAAGAAGUUCUCACCCCAAAGCCUCUCCAUCAUCUUAGAUUCAUCAACUCCAAACUUAGAUGCAUACAUCUUGGCAAAGUUAGUGAGGGUAAAGGCCCAUCCGUGCAGACCAGCAGAAAAAGCAACAGUCCCCUUCUCUGGGUACACUUGGACGUCACCAAGGAGCUUAUCUUCGUAUGUUGCCAUGAUGACAUUGGCAUUCUCAAUGACACGGGAGAAGGUCUGGUAAGCUUCCUCGCCCUCAACCUGAAGCUCAAGGAAGCACCUGUCCAUCUUGUUCACGGUAAGAACUGGCCUAAUCCUCUCACCAAGGGCUUGGCGAAGCACAGUUUCAGUUUGCACACAGACACCUUCAAUACAGUCAACCACCACAAGAGCACCAUCGGUGAUGCGAAGAGCAGCUGUGACUUCCGAAGAAAAAUCAACGUGCCCAGGCGAGUCAAUAAGGUUGAUCAGGUAUUGGUUACCAUCUCUCUCACCCUUGUAAUUCUUCAGUGACUCGUCAGUCAUCUCAUAGUAAAGAGAGAUACCGGUAGAUUUGAUUGUAAUACCACGCUCUGCUUCAUCUGCACGAGUAUCAGUCAUGCGAACAUCACCAGCAACUUCCUGGGCAAUAAUCCCAGCAGCUGCCACAAGGGAAUCUGUAAGCGUAGACUUGCCUGCAAAGAAUUUAUAAUAGCAUAUAAGAACAGCAAGGAAAUUCAACAUGUGCAUCAUAUGGUAGUACAAUAUUAGGGACAGACAAGCAAAUCAAAAGUUAACAAACACAGUAGUAGAUCACAAUCUAGAGUACAACCUCCGUCCCAGAAAGAAUGCAAUUCUAGCAGUGUCGCGUUUUAGUACCUUAAGUUUGACCAAUUAUAGAUAAAAGAGUAUCAAUGUUUAUGAUACCAAAUAAAUAUCAUUAGAUUAAUUAUGAAAUGUAUUUUCAUAAUAAAUUAAUUCAAAGCCAUAAAUGUGAAUAUUAUCAACAAGAAACUUAGUCAAACGUGAAUUCCUUUUUGUGGUGCGCAACCCAUGGUUGCAUUCUUUUCAGGACGGAUGUAGUAUAUAGCUAUUAACAGAUACUAUAUAAAACACAAUACCUAGAGAACCAGUACAUUAAUUAAAAGAUGACAAAAGGAUAAGCCCAUUUCCUACAAGGGGUAAAUAUCUGAACAUAAGCAGUUCACAAGGCCUAAAAUAGAUAGUGCAGCAAGAAAUGAAACAUCAUCUAUAAAGCACAAUACAGAGCUUAUAAAAUAUUGAAAACACAAAAGUUAACAACACACUGGUAUAUUACAAUAAAAAUACAGCCAACAGAUUGGAUAAAUAUCAGUGAAUAUUGAAACAAUGAACAUGAAUAGAACCAUCAGCAGUCACGCACAGUACAGAGCUUAAAUAUUGAAACAGAACAAAUCGACAUCGAAAAGGCUUGAGCAGUGUUCUGAGCGUACCAUGGUCCACAUGAGCAAUAACAGACAUGUUACGAAUGUUGUUCUUUUUGUCCAUGAUGCCACGGAGCUCUUCAGCCGUGAACUUCACCAUCUUGACUUCUUAUAAAUAUCACACUACCAAUAACAAUAUUUAUUCCUGCUGUGAAGGUUCAAAAGUACUAGUAAGAAUUUACUCAAAAAUAUGAGAACAAAACUAAACUGAAAACUUUGACGUUGACAUCAGUAGCAAAAGUAAUUAACCAAUAUGAUUGUCAGGAACCAAAGAUACAUGGAAAUUCUUAGCAAUUUCAGAAAGUUAAUAAAAUGUUUCAACAAUCAUUAUUUGUCAUGAUACAUUAUUCCAUUGUUUACACCACACUUCACAGGAUUGUAAACACAAAAGCUAAUAAAGUAAACUGGAAAACAUGUAUCUAAUUGCAGACAAGGUGCAAAAUCGUUUAACUAAGAUCUACAAUCAGGACAACAUGUUCUGUAAAAAACAAUCGAAGUAACAGGCACGAAAUAAUCAAAUAAUAGCAACUCGGGUUGAGGCGAUCACAUAGCAUACUAUAUGUAUGCACAGAUAUGGAGAUAAGGUAUUUUUCUUUUCAGAAAACAUGAUACGGGGACAUAGCAGGAGGAUCAAAAUUGCCCUGUAUUCUAAAAGCAGUUGCAGCGUAGCAGGAACACAAAAAUCGCCCUAUAUUCCAGCAAUCGUGCUGCUUUGCUCUUCUUCUAGAUCAGCAAACCAGCCAAGGUUGACCUAUUGUAGCUGCUGGAUCCCCGAAUAAUCUUACGAAGUGACCAGACAAACAAUUCGAGUACGCAAUAAGGGACAGUAAAGACGUAAGGGAGGGGACAGAGAAGAAACUAGCCGCCGACAUGCAUCCGGCUUGUAGUCGAUUUACCUGGGCUGCGCGCGUCGCUGGCAGCUGCUGCUCGUCGCGGGUGCUAGAGCUCGCUGCCGGCGCCGGAUCUCGUCGCAGGCGCGGUGGCGGGCAGGCGGCGGCUGCGGUGUGGGAGAGAUGGAUGACUGGGGGAGGUGGCCAGAGAUAGGGUUUGCUGUCCUCUUUCGAAUAAUAUAUAUAUAAGGCCUAAUGGGCCAAACGGUGACUGGCCCAUAUACUAAAAUGGGCCAUGACGUGUUCAAUCAAAGGAAGAAGUCCAAUUUAGGUCGUUCAACUUUCGCAAAAGUCUAUUUUUCAUCCCUGAACUUCAAAACCGGGUAAAAUACAUCCCUCAAUUUUUGAAACCAUGCAUAUUACGUCCCUGACAUGGUUACGAGCGGUUUUGAAGGCAGUUUUGUCUUUUUCAUUUUUAUUUAUUUUGGCUGAAUAUUUGUAAAAUUAUAGUAAAUCACAUAAAAUUCAUAAAAUAGUAAAUCUGAUUUUGUUGGACUCCAAAUAAGUAGAUCUACAUAAUGAACAUAUAAUAUAGUAUGCUUUAGUACAAAAUUUUUAUUGUAGCUUUAGAACUGUUUUUUCUAUAAUUAAUUAGAAUAAUUCAUAGCUAUAGUUUGUAUGGUCCAAUUGUGGUGAAUUUUUUAUGUUAGACUAAUUAUUAUAUGUUUAAACUAUGGUAAAAAAUUCAUACUCAUUAGAUUAUGUAUAACUUAGUUAUAGAUUUAUUAUAAUUUAACAAGCAUAAACCUAAAUAAAUCUAUAACUAAGGCCUUGUUUAGUUUGCAAAAAUUUUCACCGUCACAUCGAAUAUUUGGUCGCAUGCAUGGAGCUUUAAAUAUAGACGAAAAUAAAAACAAAUUGCACAGUUUAUCUGUAAUUUAUGAAAUGAAUCUUUUAAGCCUAGUUACUCUAUGAUUGGACAAUGUUUGUCAAAUAAAAACGAAAGUGUUACAGUAGCCAAAAACUCAAAUUUUUGCCAACUAAACAAGGCCUAAAUAAUACAUGAUUCAAUGAGUAUAAAAUUUUUACUAUAACUCAAACAUAGAAUAUUAGCUCACCAUAUAAAUUUCAUCACAGUUAGACCAUAGAAAAUGUAGCUAUAAUUAGUCUAAUUAAUUAUAGAAAAACAUAGAUCUAAAGAUACAUCAAAAAAAUUUGUACUAGAACAUACUCUCUCUAUACUAGAAAUACAUGACGUUUAGGACAUGAUUGUGCUUACCAAGGAGUCAUUAAUUAGGGGAUAAUUUUCUGGUUUUGCCCUUAUUAAAUAGAGAUGCGGGUGUAUCCUAGACCGACAUGAAGCAUUCUCUAUUCGAAUGGUUACCGGGGCUGCUUUUCAAGCGCUCGUGGGCGAGGGUGUUGGUUCGAUUCCUGUUGCCUGCGCCUUUUUUUUGAACUUGACGUGAUUUUGCAUAGGAGCCGGCGUCCGUCCGUUAGCAUGCAUAGAAGCCGGCGUCCGUUCGUAUCCGUUAGCAUGCAUGCAUUGGAGCCGGUGGCCGUUCGCGUCCGUUAGCAUUCAUGGGAUCCGGGAAGACUGGGAGACGCCCGGCCUUUCGUGUCCGUUAGCAUGGGAGCGUGAUUAAUAUUCAAUGUGUAGAUCUAAAAGUCCAACAAAAUUGAGUUUUCUAUUUUAUAAUUUUUAUAUGAUUUUUCAAAAAAUUCAGCCAAAAUAAAUAAAAAGAAAAAGGUAAAACCGCUUUCAAAACCAGAUCAAGGAUGUAAUGUGCACGGUUUAAAAGUUGAGAGAUGUAUUUUGUCUGGUUUUAGAAUUCAGGGAUGAAAAUCAGACUUUCGCAAAAGUUGAGGGACCUAAAAUAGACUUUUUCCUCAAUCAAAAGCAAAGAGUCUUCUCAGCUAAGGCUUUGUUUAGUUUUCAAAAUUUUUUAAGAUUCUCCAUCACAUCGAAUCUUGCGGUACAUGUAUGGUGCAUUAAAUAUACAUGAAAACAAAAACAAAUUAUACAGUUCAUCUGUAAAUUACGAGACGAAUCUUUUAAACCUAGUUACUCCAUGAUUGGACAAUGUUUGUCAAAUAAAAACGAAAGUGCUACAGUGUCAAAACCUAAAAAAUUUAACAAACUGAACAAGGCGUAAGUUUAACAACCUCUCUAAAAAAACCUAAGUUUCACAAUACUUUUUCCUCCCUCAACUUCAAAACCAUCUCGGUUAACUUUUUAAACCGUGCAUUUUACCUCCCUACAUAAUUUUAAAGGCGGUUUUGCUAUAAUAAAUUAUAGUUUUUCUACGGUAAAGGUGGUUUUGUCUUUGUCUUUUUCCAUUUAUUUCACCUAAUUUUUUGAAAAUUCACAAUAAAUUACAAAAAAAACAUAAAAUAGAAAAUCUAAUUUUACUGGACUCCACAUGAGUAUAUCUAUACACUGAACAUAUAGUAUAACAUAUAGUAUAGUAUAGUAUGCUUUAAUAAAAAAAUUGCUAUGAUGGUGUUGUCUUUUUUUUAUUUUGGCUAAAUCUUUGAAAAAAUAUAGUAAAUUACAAAAAAUCAUGGGAAAUCCAAUUUUUUUUACUCCACGACAGCAUAUCUACACACUGAAUAUAUAAUAUGGUAUACUUUAGUACAAUUUUUUGUUCUAGCUUUAGAUCUAUGUUUUUGUGUAAUUAAUAAAAAUACUUCAUAGUUGCAGCUUCUAUAACUAUUUUACUGAAAUAAAGCAUACCAUAUUAUAUAUUCACUGUUUAUAUGUACUCAUGUGAAGUCUAACAAAAUUAGAGUUUUAAAUUUAUGAUUUAUCAGUGAUUUACUAUGAUUUUUCAAAUAUUCAACCAAAUAAUUUUUUUUUUAAAAAAGUCAAAACCUUUAUAGGAAAAACUUUAUACUAAAGCAUAUCAUAUUGUAUAUUUACAUUGUAGAUCUAUGCAUGUAGAGUCCAACAAAUUUGGUUUUUCUAUUUUAUGAUUUUUUUAUUAACUAUGUUUUUUCAAAGAUUCAUCUGAAAUAUAAAAAAGAGAAAACCACUGUCAUUGUACCAAAAACAUCAUUCACUGUAGCAAAUUUAUGAAGGAAACUACACCAGGAAGGUAAAAUGCAUGGUUUAAAAAGUUAAGGGAUAUAAUUUGUCCAAUUUUGGAGUUGAGGAAGAAAAACGGACUUUCAUGAAAGUUGAAGGAGAAAAGGUAGACUUUUUCCAUAAAUCAUCUUGUAUUUAGAUGGGCUCAUAUAUAUAGAAGCUAAUGGGCCGAACUUAAUUAAGCAGUGCACAAUUAAAAUAAUCUUGUAUUUAGAUCGAGGAACCUCCUGGUUUUAUAUUAAAAUCAUCUUGUAUUAAAACAAUCUUCCAUUUUUGUACUUAGGUUCCUUCAUGAUUUUUUUUAGGUUUGCGAUUAGGUUCCUUAAUGAUGUUUUGCAUGCCUUUCAAAAAAAAUCUUGAUACUGCAUAUUUAGUUUUUAUGAUAGUACUUCCAUUCGUGUAUUGUGCAAAUUCAGCUUUUGAAUUUAUAAAUGGGAAUGCUACCAACAUGGCACUUUUGAGAGGAUGGAGGUUGGCGAUGGACGACAUGUGCUGGGCUUGGAGAAAAGAAAACAGAUUCUACAAUGGAAUACAUCAACAUCCUUGGUGGUUUCUUCUCUGUUUGGCACUAUUUUAGUUUGGAAAAAAAUACUACAAAGCAUGUUGUAACUUGCAUUCCAUGAAACCUGAAGCUGACAACUAGUUUGUCCCCAUCCUGGCCAUAUGCGCCGUGACCAGUGAUUGUUCAUGAAAUUGGUCAGAUCAAUGCCCUGCUAGCUUUCAUGAUAUUUGUAGGGACUUUGAUGCUUUUUUGAGGGACCUGCUAGCCAUGACCAGAAGAUGGUUGUAGCAAAGUAUAAUAGAUUGAUUUAGAUUUACCAUAUUUUCCGUAUUCAUAAUAAUAGGUUGUUUACCAAGUUUCAUGAAUAAAUGUUUAAUAUGUAUUUUUAGAUGUCGUCGUAGCGUUAGCACGGGUAAUAUACUACUCCCUUUGUCUCUAAAUGUAUGUCGUUUUCGCUUCCCGAGAAACAACUUUGACUAAAUAAGUAAAUAUAUAAAUUAAAAAUAAUAAUAUUUACGAUACACAAUUAGUAUCAUUAGGUAGAUAUUUGAAUCUAGUUUUUUAAUAAAUUUAUUUGAAGAUAGAAAUAUUACACGUACUCUCUCUGUCUCUUUUUAAUUGUCGUCGUUAGUGUAUGUGCCACAAGUUUGACUCAACUUGUUAAAAAUACGUGCAACAUUUGUAUCUUCAAAUAAAUUUAUUAAAAAACUAGAUUCAAAAUUCUUUCUAUAAAUAUUAAUAUUUUUUAGUAUAUGAUUGCCGACAGUUGUUUUUUGGGAAGCGCAAGCGACAAUUAAAAAGGGACGGAGGGAGUAUUUUCUAUAAAUCACUCAAGUCAAAGUUGUCAGCAUUCAAACCGUGGUGACAAAUAUUUAGGAACAAAGGCAGUAGUAUUUCUUUUCUUUUAUUUGAACCUGGGACAGUAAUAUUUCAAGGUCAAUAAAUUGCUUGGAGGCUCCCCACUCCCAAAAAAAAAAGAAAAGGAAAAAACCAGUGUAGAAUUGCCCAACUCGCCGCGUGGCGCAGGCCGCAAACCGGGCACUCGUUUGUCCGUGGAUGCGCGCGGUGUUCCAGUCUCCAGACGCGCCGGGCCGGGCGCCAGACACAGUGGCCCACGAACAGACCUAUACAUGGUACCACGCACGCUACGGCCUGCAUUCUGGCAACAAUGAUAACUGUACCGAACCUUGCCAAAAAAAAAAAAAAUUGCCCAGAGCCCAACAAGAGAUCUGCAUCUUCGACCUUUUUUCUAAAACAAAGUAUAAAAAAAAGGUCGAACGAAUUUUGGAAAAGAAAAACUAGGGCCUAAAAUCGCAUAUAUAUAUAUAUAUAUAUAUAUAUAUAUAUAUAUAUAUAUCAGAUGGAGACAGUAUAUAUUAGCCCCACAGCACCGGAUCACUCAUGGCGGCCUGAUGAAAUGCACCGAUCCAGACAUCUUUUUUUUGUCGGUUAGCAGAGCACGUUCGUUCCAUUCACAUGCUCCCCGGCCCAGCCGGCCGGCCGGGGCCGAGCCUACAGUGUUCCUAUCUACUCGGCUCGUCAUCACAUGCACGACGCGCGCUCGUCACGACACCAAGGACGUACUGCUGGCAUGCGGCAUGCGUUGUCACAGAUCUGGCGCCUCCGAUCUAUCCGAUCCUUUUGCGCUCCAUCGCACGCAACUAAAGCAGGAGUACACGUACGAAAUAACGUACCAACUCCUACCCGGAGGCUAUAUAGUAUAUUCGUAUCACAAGGACAACAAUGAAAAAAAUACAAGGAAACAAACAAUGUUCGUUUGUCUUAUAAAUCGUGUUUUUUAUCAAUCAAUAUUAUUUUCCUCUCAUAAUAAAUUAACAAAUACUAUUGUCAAAGGAGGCUGACAAGAAGAGAGUUCCAAGUGUAGUCGGUCGACUCGAGGAAAAGGAGUGAGAUUCGCGUGGUGGUAGCCUGGUAGGCUAGCUAGGCUGGGCACGCGCACGGCAGCAGGUGGAUGUAUAUGUACGUCGAUCGUCCCGUCCGUCGUUGAGCUUAUCAACUUAAUUAGCUUGUUGCUUAGUAGGAUGGGGCUUCAAGACGCCCGGGUUAGGGCCUUGUUUACUUUCUAAAAAAUUUUGCAAAUUUUUUCAGAUUCCUCGUCACAUCGAAUUUUUAGACACAUGCAUGAAGUACUAAAUAUAGACAAAAAUAAAAACCAAUUGCACAGUUUGGUCGGAAUUGACGAGACAAAUCUUUUGAGCCUAGUUAGUCCAUGAUUGGACAAUAUUUGUCAAAUACAAACGAAAAAGCUACAGUGUCCAUUUUGCAAAAUAUUUUGGAGCUAAACAAGGCUUAGUUCCUUGUUCCAUCCGAUAUUUCCAUCCUGAGCCGUGCCGUGUGUCCGCUCUUACUUGUCAACUAGCUAGUAUGCGGCCGGGAGCAUCAUCUAUCUCCGGCACGGCGAGCGGGUCUUCUAGGUGCGCUAUUCGAUCCUUCCUGCCCGUGCCUACUGCAUCGGACGAUUCUGUUUGCUUUGCUGGAAGGUUGCUGCUGCCGCCCAUAUCAUACUGCCAUGAGUCGAUCCAUCUCCUCCUCUGCGAGCUUUGCUACUUGUGUUGCCACGAAGUGGGCUGCUGGUCCCGGUCCCGGCCUGACCGGAACACGCAGUGCGUGUUAACGAUGCGCCUGUACGGUCCUGUCCAAAUCCCCCACCCGGCCACCCCCACUGUCUCUCUAGUACUAACGAUGCCCCUUUAGGCCUUUAGUUUCUCCAUUUUGCAUUGCAUGGGAAAGGCCGGGCUACACUAGACUCACUUUAAUUUCUGCCCAAGUCACGUCACGUAUAUAUAUAUAUAUGCAUGUGGACUUGUGGAGUAAGCAACCUAAUGCUCACUCACACCACACUGUUAGUCACACAGUCAAUGAUUGGACCAAAAGUAAAGCUCAAUUGUUCCAAGUAGUUGCCCGGCCGGGCGUUUGCUUACCUUGCAAGUACUUGGCGCGGGCGCAACACCAUGCCUGCCUGCCCCGGAGCUGCAGCAAUCACGGCCAAGGCAAAGGCAGGUUUGCCGGCUAAGGUUUUAGUAUCUGUAGCCAUCAUCCCAUGAUUGCAAAGACGGUGUGUGCGCGUGUGAUGCAUGAAAGACGGCAUCCGUGGCCAUGGAUUGCAUUUUGCAUGCACAAACAUACAGUACUCGCUUUUUUUUUCGAUCCUUGACCAUUGGGCGAGGUCGAGGUCAAUCAGUGAAGCAGCAGCAGCAGCAGGAGGAGGAGGAUCGCCCCACGGAAUGACAGAAACUUACGGCGACAGACAUGAUGGUUGAUGGGUCUGGACUCUUCCCAAAGCAAGCAGGAUCUUUCAAUGUUCUAGUACAGUGUUGCUCCUGACCCACCAGGCCACCGCCAUUACGUUGCUAAAACAACAGUACUGCCACUCCAGGUACAGCAAUGGCCUACCGCCAUUACCAGCACCACCAGUCCACUACCACAUGAGGACAUCACAUAUUGGCCAGUAAUAAAGCUGCAAUCUGCUCUGCUGGAAGAGGAGCAGAAAGACCUUGAGCCUUGUUUAGUUCACCUCGAAAUCCAAAAAGUUUUCAAGAUUCUCUGUCACAUUGAAUCUUGUGGCACAUACAUGAAGCAUUAAAUAUAGACGAAAAUAAAAACUAAUCACACAGUUUGACUGUAAAUCGCGAGACAAAUCUUUUGAUCUUAGUUAGUAUAUGAUUGAACAAUAUUUACCACAAACAAACGAAAGUGCUACAGUUCCGAAAACUUUCAGUUUUCGGAACUAAACAAGGCCCAAGAGAAUGGACAUGUGCUACAGAUACAGAGCAAGGACGGCGUCCUGUUCCACAAACAGCAAUUGCCUUGCCUUGCCGACAUUUUAAGUAGGCCUUGUUUAGUUCCAAAAAAUUUUGUAAAAUUUUUCAGAUUUCUAGUCACAUUGAAUCUUUAGACACAUGCAUGAAGUACUAAAUAUAGACAAAAAUAAAAACUAAUUGCACAGUUUGGUCGGAAUUGACGAGACAAAUCUUUUGAGUCUAGUCCAUGAUUGGACAAUAUUUGUCAAAUACAAACGAAAAAGCUACAGUGUCCAUUUUGCAAAAUAUUUUGGAACUCAAUAAGGCCGUACUAUCGACAAAUGAACCUACAAUCUAGGUCAUGUUUAGAUGUGAAAAGUUUUUAGAUUUCUCUACUUUAGCACUUACGUUUGUUUGUGGCAAAUAUUAUCCAAUCAUAAACUAACUAAGAUCAAAAGAUUUGUUUCGCGAUUUACAGGUAAACUAUGCAAUUAGUUUUUUUUAUCUAUAUUUAGUACUUCAUGCAUGUACCGAAAGAUUCGAUGUGACGGAGAACUUAAAAACUUUUUGGUUUUUGGGAUGAACUAAACAAGGCCCUAGUCAUAGUGGUGAGAGGAGAGAAACCUAGUCAACAGCAACGAUUCGAAUCGAUUCUUUACUCAUGCAGCUGAUCACCAAAACAAAAUGGCACAUUUACAAAUUACAUCACUGGACGAAGCUGCUACAUCACUAGACACCCGCUAAUGGAGGAGUCUUGUGUCCUAGUAAGGAGAAAUGCACCAGAAUGAGGAGCAAGGGAAGGAAUGCACAGGCCCUUUCCUUCAAUGGGGCAGGGCGAGCAAAGGUAUACUCACUCAUCACUACUACAUAAAUAAAUAAACAAACAAACAAUGUGCAUGCAUCUCUUCCUCUGCAUACAUCUGUUCCGUCCUGCCUUAUUGAGAUAGAUGAUAAACAACAACUUUGCAGAUGUAGAGCAGUUCAUACUCAAACAACUUUCUGUUCGGCUCACCGAUUAAGUAUCCAUCCAAAACUAAUAAAGAAUGCUGAACAAUUGAACUCAGGCAUCGAUUGAUUGGUCUCGAUCGAUCUUCUCUAGUAUAUUCGUGGCCGAACUGCACAAGGUUGUCGCAGCCUCCGUUUUGCCCAAUAUUGCAGUCAUGAGGCUGAGCUACCACCACCAUGGAACAAAAGAAAUGCAAAGAUUUUUUUUCUCUCCCCGUGUUUCUAUCUACAGAGGAAAAAAUGAAAAAAAAUAUGGGCACACAUCUGCAAAAUUACUUCUUCGACAACACACUGAUGGGGAACUCCACAUGCUGACCUCCUAGUUGCAAUCCAAACCGCAUUCCUCCAACAGGGGACCAUCAUCCUUCGCAAGGAAAGGAUCUAUCCGGACCCAGAGCAGCGAGAAGAUUGAAGCCAAGAGGAUGGACCAGACAAUGACAAUUGUUGGCGUUCUGUUCUGCCUCCCAACCAGACCCUUGAGGAAUGGGUAAAGAUGGACAAUCACCCAAAAUGCAAAGAAGAGCUUCCCGAACAGGGGCCCCCAUGAUUCAUAUCCAUUGUUGAUUGCAUUGGAAACGCCAGCUACUACUCCAAUGAAAUUCAGUAGAAGCAGGGUGGUCGGAGGUAUCAGAAGGGUUGUCCAUUUGAAUGUGUACAGCUCUGAGAACUCCUCGUCGUCUCCACCCUUGGAUGUCACAGUGAAGCUCGUGUCUACACCAGCUAUGACCUUGAGGAGUCCUUGGAACACAGCAAAGAGAUGUGAAGACACACCGCCAAUGACCCAAAACUGCUCAUUUCUCCACCAAUCAUCGAUGCCUACACCACUCCAUCUCAUUUCCAGGAUGCUCGUAGCAAAAAUGCAGAUAAAAAGUGACAUGAACCAGAGGCUGGCAACAUUGUUAAGCUGCACGAUAGGAGAAUGAUAGUAAUCGUAAGGUGUCAUAAUCUUCCACAAGUUCAACACCAUAAUACAAUAGAAUUAGAGACUGAAAAAAUGGUACCUCUGGCGUGAUAAAUUGCCCUGUCAGCAAGCAGAUGGCAGGCAAUGUGCAAUAGGCCAAGAGCGGGAUAGAUGUCCAAGGGUAUACGAUGGAGUUAAUGUAUGAAAACCUUUCCAGGCACUUUAAUCCACCACCAUACCCAUACCAAAGAGGGCAGUGGUUGCUGAAGAAAAUUUCAAUUGAACCAAGAGCCCACCGAAGAACCUGGUGAAGACGAUCGGAAAGAUUGAGAGGUGCAGAACCUUUGAAAGCGGCCCGUUUAGGUAUGCAGUAAAUUGACCGCCAACCAUGGCAGUGCAUCUUAAACCCAGUAAGAAUAUCUUCUGUAACUGAUCCAUAAAUCCAACCAAUCUGUAACGAAACAUAUGAUUCAGUAUGUGAUACUUAUUCUGACCAAUACAACCAACAAACAGAAACAACAAACAUGCUGCACACUUACAUCUUUUCCCCAAUCUGUCUUGUCUUCAUAGCCGCAACUGAUGACAUGUAUAGCUUCCUUCAGAAGAGAAGCUGGACUGGCACUCUUCAGGGUUCCACCAUUCUCAAGAAGUGUGGAUGCAACAAAAACUGAAGACUGGCCAAAUUUCUUUUCCAACUUUUGUUGAUUUACAAUACUAGCCUUUUCAUUUUCAGCUCCUACGGGAAACAUUGCAAGGUUAGGCAUUAAGGAUGCUUGUAGUACGGGGAAAAACAGAGAAGGUUUCCUAUUGGAGGUUACGUGGUACCUGGAGCAGCUUCAUCAAUUUCACCAAGAGCAUACGCAGGGGCUUGGUUUUCCUUUUUCUUAAAAAGUUUCUUUAUCUUCUCAAAUUUAGGUUUAGAGGUCUUAGUCUUCUUCUUGGUCUUCCUGUUACCAAAACAGCAACAGCAAAUGCACCACUUUGGCCAGCAGUUGCAAGUCCUUGAUGGUGGCUUCUUUGUUUUGGGUGCGUCAUAGCCAUAUAAUGCCUGCCUCCUGAAGACACAUCCUGUACCAACGUAAAUGGGGCCUUGGAUACCAUCCAAACCUUUCAUGUUGAUCUGCAUGAAUGAAACAUUAGGGAAAUUGCAUUUAAGUUCAUUCUCUCAUGUUAGACGAGAGAGCUUAUUAGAAAUUUUGAUGACAGAUCUUACAUCGAAAAAGACAACAUUUCUGUUAGCAUAUCGAUCAUGACGAUCAAUCCCAUCGAAUCUUUGAGGAAACUGCACAUAGCAAACUUUCUUUCCAAGCAAAGGAUCCAUCAUAAAACACAUUGCUUCCUUUAUAGCCUUACUAUUAUUGAUGUAGUGAUCACAAUCCAAGUUCAGCAAAUAAGGUGCAUUAGUUAGUACAGCAGAGACUCGGACCUGUGGAAGAGCCAAAAACAGGAACAAGAAACUCAUGUUAUGCAUAUACAGGCCAUAGUGACAGAAAAUGCAUCAACCAAAGCAUACUUACCAAUGCAUUCAUAGCACCAGCCUUCUUAUGAUGGUCAUAGCCUGGCCGUUUUUCUCUUGAAACGUAAACCAAUCGAGGCAGCUCAUUUCCUUCCACGUCAUGGCCACCACUUUGACCAAGAAAAACCUAUUGGUAGAGAAAUUUGAAAUAUUUUUAUGUGGCACGGUGAAGGGGAAAAAACAUAAAACAUCCCACCACAUGCACUGUUAAUUCAUAAUUGUCAAACCAUACCUGAAUCAUUCCAGGAUGAUCACGAACAUUGUUUCCAGGCCAUGGUGUCCCAUCCUGCAUUGUCCAUCCUUCCUCAGGUACCUUUUGGGCUUUAGCAACCAAGGCAUUGAUUCUAACCUUGAAUUCCUCGUACUCUCUCUGGAAAAAUAAUAAGAUGCACUAAAUUAGCAUAAGACUUGCCACAUAAAGGACUGUAGCAAGGGAUAACAAAAAAGUACAAAUAAUGCACCUUCAUUGCUCUCCGUUCUCUAACGAAGUUUGGCGCCACCUUGUCUUUCAGGUAGUCUAUCUUCUGUUGGAAAUACCACUCUGGAGCACGAGGCUCAAGGCUAUACCUUUUGCAGAAAGGAACCCAUUUCUUUGCAAAUUCAGAUGUUUCAGACAAUGCUUCAAAUGUCAGCAUGGCAGCACCAUCAUCAGAAACAUAGCAUGAAACCUUAUCAACUGGAUAAUCCACCGAAAGGAUAGAUAGAACAGUAUUUGCUGUGACUAAUGGAGGUUCCUUCAAGGGAUCAACCGUACUGACAAAGAAAUCAAUAGGGGCGAGUUGAGAAGGCUGCCCUUCCUUGUCAAACCUAUCGAGACAAGAAAUCCACAACAAUAAAAAAAUCAGCAAAGAUGAGAGGAGGCAAGUAAUAUCAGGUGACAGCAGGAAGCAAGUAACCAACCUCAAAGUCAGCCGGUCAAGAUAGGUUUCCCUCUCGAUAGGAAACCACUUUGGAAACUGAUCAAGAAUCCAAGACAUGGCAAACCAAAUUUCACAGAUCACAGAUAUGAGCCAUAAAGCAAAUGCAUCAGGCACCGGAUGCAUCACUCGGUAGUGGAAGAAGAACCCCAAAACCACUAGCCGAAUUAUGAUAAUCAUCCUAUAGGGGUUGAUUUGGCUUGAAGGAAGCGGAAUCUUUCUGGACAAUGGCUGUCUAGCUUCAUCCAUUCUGGCAAGAAAAAAAAAACAAGAAACAUUUGGUGUUUGAGUCCAGUAAAAAAUUUUGCAUAGAGAUGAACAAAAUAUCUAACUAAGAAAAUAGCAUAUGGACAGUUUUUCCAUCAAGUCAGAGAUACAAGUACACAGAAAGCAAAACAAAUUCAACUGUUUUCUUCAAAUUCUUCCGAAGUCCUUUUUUUAAGUCUUCACUGAGUACAGUUAUAGCACCUGUUCAAAGAAUUCUUACUAGCAAGUUGAUAGGUUACUUAUAUUUUUCGUGGUAACUGGGCCAGGUUAUAAAAUUUCAAAGUUGACCAAUCCACUGUAGUACAAAAUAGCAUGACAGCUAGGAGCCAGCUAAUAUAGAAGUCAGCCAAGUUUCAGGGCCAUACAGUGGUAGAUCUGCAUCAUCGCCAUCAUCGUUACCACCACCGUCGUUCCUCGCCUGGUGCAUCCUCUCCUGCUUCUGCUUCCAGCUCUCCAUCCUCUCCUUCCACGCUACACUGCCGUAGCCAUAUGCGGCGAGAUCCUUGGAAGGGUCCAUAGACCUUGGUUGCACUGCAGGUCGCGCAAGCCGUUAAUUGAUUGAUAGUACUGUAUUGUAGUAUUCAGGAGGUAACCAUGGCAGCUGGACGGUAGCUGAUGACGUUCAGAACACGCACCAGGAAGGUUGGGAUCCGCGUACGGAAGAGGGUGAAUCCUCUUCCCACCACCACCCAUGAACGAGGGCACAAGUGCGUGCUGCUCCGGCGGGAUGUCAUCGACCUGGAAGCAGAAGAAGCAAGCAAUUCAAUUCAGCACUUGAAGUCCGUGGAGGAGGAGGGGGAGCAGGGGGAGCAAUGCAAUUGCAAGCGGCGUGGGUGGGUUUUGCGGUACCAUCUGUCCGUUGGUGAGGAGAGGAACAUUAGGGAUGGGCUGGAAUGGUUGCGGCACGCCGUCGAGGUCGGCGCCGCGGCCGUAGCUCAUGUGGGCGUGGAGCAUGGACUCGGCGACGUACUGGGAGUCGUGCUUGUCGCUCCAGUUGAACUCGUUCUCCAGGUCGUCGACGCCGUCCUCCUCCUCGUCCCCGGGCACGCGCGCGCACCCUGCAAACAAACACAAAGAGUCAGGACUGCUGAGGACGCGAGCGGCGGCGGGGGAGACGGGACGGGAGGCCGAGAAUUGCGAAUGCGGGAGGUGGGAAGGGGGGGACUUGCCCUUGAGGCGCUUGAAGCGGGUCUUGCACUGGGGGCAGUUCUGCGUGCCCUCGCGUCGCUCGUACUCGUAGCAGUCCCGGCAGAUGGGGAAGGCGCACUCGUUGCAGGCCACGAAGGGCUCCCCGUCCGGGUUGCGCCCCACGUCGUCGCCGCAAAUCUGGCACACCUGGCCGUUCCGCUGGUCCAUCGGCUUCGGCUGCAACGAAGGAAGCAAAGCAAGCAGAGGGAAUCAGCGGCGGGGAACGAGGAACGGCGGGAGGGAGGAGGAACCGAGCAGAGCGAGGCGAGGUGCGGCAGAAGGGUGGACGUACCCCUGGCUCGCCAUCGCGGCGGAUGACGACGAGCUCGUUCCGGUUGUGCGAGCCGGCGACCAGCCCGGCGCUGGCCUCCAUCCCCCUCGCCCUACCAGAUCUCCAGAUCUCGGGGCGGGCCGCGGGCGCGUGCGGCGGCGGCGGCGGCGGCGGGUGCUUGGGGGAAGGGAAUGGAACGGGAGUGAAGCGAAGAGGGAGGGCUUGUGCUAGCUUGUUGUGCUCCGGCUGGGGGGGCUUUUUCCUUUGUUGCGUUGCGCGCGGCGCGCUUCGCUGCCCGUGUCCCCUCCCGUUCCCGUGUGGGGCUUUUGGCUCUUCCUUCUCGGUGGACUGGUGGGUGGGGGUGGGGCUGGCUGGCUGGCGCCUGGGAGGAGAGGACGGACGGAGGAGGGAGGCCGAAGGGGCAAGCAACAAAAUGCGACGCGCUAGGCGCUACUGCUACUGCUUGCCCUCCCACGCACAGCUCAUCGGCACCACCACCGUGUCUCCCUCCCUCACAUGCGCACGCCCGCCGCUGUCCCUCUCGCUUCCCUCUGGUUUUGUUUUGGUGCUACUCGCCUCGUCUGGCCUGGACGCUAGUAGUGCCUGCUGGUGCUGGUGCCGGUGCUGGUAAUGGACUGUGGACUACCACCACCACCACCACGCACCCCUCUCUUUCUACGAUUCUCGCUUCCCUCGAGCUCGAUCAACCAUGGGCCAUGGCGUGGUACCGUGCCCGUUAAUACCUUGCUUGCGAGCUGUGAGCCGUGACCACGGCUCAACCACCACCUCUUUCUUCUCUUGCCUUCUAGGAGCGUGCCAAAUCAGAUGAGCCUAGCUUAGAUAUCGGUGGUACGUGUUUUAUUAUUAUUAUAAAAAAGUUAGAGUAAAAUGAUUAGAGGAGAGAGGUGUGUGAGUGUCGGUGACACGACCGGACGACUGUUGACUCUACUGUCUCUACAGAUACGGUGAACGGUGUCUGUCUGCGGUCUGCCUGCCUGUGGUUAGUUAGGAUGUCUGCUUAGCAAAGUUUGUUUUUUUUUGGCCUUGUUUAGUUCCCGAACAAUUUUACAAAUUUUUUCAGAUUUCUCGUCACAUCAAAUCUUUAGAUACAUGUAUUAAAUAUUAAAUAUAGACAAAAAUAAAAACUAAUUGCACAGUUUGGUCGAAAUUGACGAGACGAAUCUUUUGAGCCUAGGUAGUCCAUGAUUGGACAAUAUUUGUUAAAUACAAACGAAAGAGCUACAGUGUCGAUUUUGCAAAAUAUUUUGGAACUAAACAAGGCCUUGAUGGAACUUAGCAAAGUUUGUUACGGCCUGCCUGACAGAGCACAAAACGGUCUUUUUGUUCAUUCUCAUCCACUCACACUGGAGUACUACAUCACUAUACAGACUUUCCACUUAAUUAUUUUAUUUAUUUACAUAUUAUUAAGAAAAGCUUCAAAAAUGGAGUGCGGAGGAAAAGGAGUAUCGUGUACGUCUAGUCCAGGUAUGUAUAUUUUUCUUUGUCUGGAAACAAAAAAUGCAGUGUGCCAACGGGACGAAAGGUACGCGCUAACUAACGAGCAGGAAAACAAACAAAACAAAUAAAAUAAAAACAAUUCAGGCAGGGGCAGCAGGCUAAAGGAACAUAAAGUCGGUAGGUGAGGUGUUAUUAGCAGCCCAGCAGCGCGUGUUUACUCAUUUGUUUCUUGGCCCCCUUUCUCCCCCAAAACCUUUUUCCCUCCCUUUAUCCAUCCAUCUUCUUCUUUCUUUUUUGUGUCGUGUGUGGCACAAGAAUGGAGACGAGAGGAGGAGCGUGAUCAUGCCAUCUUUCCCCCUAAUCUUUUUCCCUAAUUUAGCGGCAGACAAUGAAAUAAUUAUGAUGAGGGUUUGUUAGUUUAUUAUUAAAUUAGGAUUAGGAUAGGACAUGGGGGCCCCGGCAGGUGUCGCUGUCCGUGGGCCCGUACCACGGAGAGAGAGUGGAUUAAUUAGGCCCUGUUUAGUUCUCCACCAAAAUUUUUUUCAUCCAUCCCAUCGAAUCUUUAAACACAUGCAUGACACAUUAAAUGUAGACAAAAAAAUAAACUAAUUACACAGUUUGGUUGAAAAUCGCGAGACGAAUCUUUUAAGCCUAGUUAGUAUAUGAUUAGUCUUAAGUGCUACAGUAACCUACAUGUGCUAAUGACAGAUUAAUUAUGCUUAAUAGAUUUGUCUUGCAGUUUCCUGACGAGCUAUGUAAUUUGUUUUUUUAUUAGUUUUCAAAAACCCCUUCCGACAUCCUUCCGACAUAUUCGAUGUGACACCCAAAAAUUUUUCAUCUCUAAUCUAAACAGGCCCUUAUUGCACGACGAUGGCGUCCGACCAACCCGGUUAGUUUUCUUCGAUUCAUGCCUCCAUCUCCAUGUGUGCUGCUCUCUCUGGGUCUGGGUGCAGUCCUUUGAGAGGCCCACCUGGCAGUGAUGAAUUUCUUGUGCAGGCUUAAGUGACGAGCCGUCUCUGGGUCUGGGUGCCGUUAUAGAAGGUUGGAGAAAGUAGAUGACGUGUCGUGUCAUUAGCAAAUGCAGGUAGCUAGCGGGCUAACAUUAGCGGCUGCCUGCAGAACAAUGAACAAUUCCAGUCCAUAGCUACCCCCUUUGGCUGCAACUGCAAGAUCUUCUUGUAGCUAACCUAGCUAGCUCUCCCUGAUAGUGAUAAUGAUAUAGUACUAGUCGUAUUACUAGUAGUACGUAUAUUGAAAGAAGUCGCGGCCCAGUGGCUGGACGAAGGAGACAUGGCCGAUUCGAACGCAUUCACUCGUCCCCGUUUGUCGUUACACCCAUGUGACGCCAUUAGUCCCGCAUUGAAAGCCAUUAGCGACCCCAGGUCCGUAAAACACUUCGUUUCGUUUCUGCCACUCCUCCCGUUGACCGAGUCGGUCGAGGCGGCAGAGCCAACGCCGGACGACCGGACUGGAGUCCGGCCCUUAGCAGCCGGUACGGGAACAUAGGCACGUUCCCCGUUCCGAGAACUUCGUUUCGAAACGUGGAACGCGAACAUCAUGAAACAUCGUUCUCAAAUACGGUGGAACACGAAUUAUAUAUAGGAGCAAUCAUAGGAACGUCAGUCUCUAGCGACUAUAGAACUUCGUGGUUUGUGUGCAUACUGCGUCGUGCCCGUCCGUGAGCGGUCGGCAAAAAAUCUAGAUGGUGAUUGACUCAUUGGCCUAGACCUGCAAUGAGCCUUAAGGUUGGAGUUGGACAGCCCUAAAUGAAACAAAAAUACAAUAGUAAACUAUAUCACGCUAGGAAUCAAACUUAUUUGGUUCAAAACAACACGUAAAACUACCUGAGCCAACCACUACGUCCCAAACACGUUCCUUUAGAAAGUGGAACGUGUUCCGCAACUUAAAGGAACGAGACGAAGCUAUAUACCCCCUAUAUUCUAUAGUUUAUGAGAAUAUCGUACUGCGUAUCAUGUUCCCGUACCACGCUGCUAAGGUCCGGCCACUGUGCUACGGCCGGGGGCGUUGAAGAGGCGAGAGCCGCCGGCCGGCAGGGGCACAGGGGGCCAGCUAGCGGUCUAGUGACGAACGGACGUGCAUGCGGUGUCGCCCGGUGGUGCUGCCACGACGGCGAACCCGAACCCCGGUGCGCGUACGUACGUGCAGUGCAGGGUAAAUCCCAACCACCAGCGCAGGCACGCGCGCAACGAAGCGUUCGUCGUGCCGUGUGCAUGUCUCCUGUUGUCUCUCGCGCCAUUUCACCAUCACAAUUCACACCCUCGCUUUCUCGCGCUGGCUGAGUCAUCGAGUGGCCUGCUGGACUCACAGGCGGCAUGCACUACACGGUGCUGCCGACACUGGCGCUCGCCAGGGGGACGUUCUGAUGGCCAUCAUCUGCAGCAUAAAUGAGUUGAUUGGAUUUCUUAUGGUGUAUUUUUCUAAAUUUUUUCAAGAUUUAAUGGAGCUACAUUUUUAGUAGUAAACGACAUGCCACGUGCUGUACCCCUCCAGGCCUCCACACUCCAGCGAGGAGGUUGACGACGACGAGCAAGUGGGGUGGUGGCCAUUGGCCUCUCUCUCUCUCUCUCCGUGUCUCCGGCUAGAUCUCCGCACUGGAUGCUGUCCUACUGCUGUUAGCAUGUUUUGUUACACUUUUGUCGUGGCGCGGGAGCCUGAGCGCGGAGCACGGGGAUCCAAUUACGACGGAGGUGAGGUGACGACGACAUCAUCCGCCAUCGCCGGAUUCCUCUUCUUCCUCCAAUCCUCCCCCACGCGGAACGCGUUCCCUGGACUGGAGGAGCGACGGGACGAUCCGAGUCACGAGUCCACGGAAUGGAAGCAACAAGCAACAGACUAAUGACAUCAUUUCUUUACUUGUGGUACGUCGAUCGAAUCCUUGCUUCCUUCAUCAACGCGUACUGUGUACUGUUCCAGCAGCUGGAGCUAGCUAGCUAGGAUGAGCGCCGUGUAUGAUGAUGAACAUUGAAAAAACCAUCAUCCUCCCCCAGUUCCAGCUAGAUUGAUCUCAUCUGAUCCGACCUGAUCCUCCGUUCGUGUAGAGACUGGGCCCCACGCCGAGAUUUUUUUGUAUAAAAAAACUAAUUGACUCCAUUAUCUACUGGCUUGCUUCUCUCUCUCAAGCAUCAGGAUAUAUAUGUCGCUUGAUGCUACAUUAGGAUUAUUUUGUCUAUAUAUAUAGGAUUUGCUAGAGUAAAUAAAUAAAAUUAUAAAAAACAAAGACGCAUGAGUCGCAUGGAGCAUUCUGCCACCGUGUUACUUUUUAUACAUGUGGUGUAUAUACCUGCGUGCAUGACCUCACUUAUACAGUAAUCAAGCCCUGUUCUUGAUCCGAAAAUCUCUCGCCAAGAAAGUCAAUUUGGCUGUCCAAAGGCGGCGGCUUCAUCCAGCUCUGCCACUGGAAGAAGCUAGCACAGCCGAGCAUGCCCAAAAAGAACUAAAAUAGAAUCAACAUUCUAAGUACAUCUGUCCCCAAGAUCAGCUAACGCAUGAGUUACUUUGUCACUUUCUCAUGGUUUGUAUUUCACCGUGUAAGCUACAAACUCCGAUGCUAACAACAUUUUUCCUUUCCAAACCAGACCGCCUGAACCAGAUAGAUCAAAUGUUGUGAAGUCAGGGACUCUUUAAUUUCACCAUCAGCACUGGAUGGUUUUGCUAUAUAUCUUGAUAUAUAUGGUAUGUCUACAUUCGUAGCUUUUACUAGAUAUAUAGUAUAUCUAAAAAAUUCAAAACAACUUAUAUUUUGGAAUGGGUGGAGUCACAUUAAUAAAACAAACAAAUUCACCGUGAAAUAUAUUUUCCCUCACGAGCUUAAUAUAUAAAACAUAGAUGGUCAACAAAAUGGAAGAUGAAGCUUAAUAUAUCUAGAGCUCAUCUGGUAGACUCUGGCGAGGAACACAAAAAUCCUCUACUACAUAAUUCAGGGAUCCAGACAAGGAAAAAAAGUUUCUAACAUUCUACUACCUAAUUCCAUAAACCAAAAAAAAAAUCAAUUCUAGCAAAGGAAUGAAAAUUAGUUUCUCUCUUCCGUACGUACCAUCCGGUUCGAUGGAAUGGAACAAAAUGAUUCCCUCUCUCUUAUAGCAAUCUGAAGCUUCACUUCCAUUUGACAUUUUCUUGCGUUCUUUCUGCAAUAUUCCUCUUGUAUUCCUCGUCACCUUCUCGUCUUCAUCUUUGCAGGAAAAGAAAAGUAAGAACAGGAAAACAUAAAUGAGUUCAAAUUGGCAAACAGAUCCUUUCAGACUACAACGUCUGCAUGACUAUUAUAUCUGGUCUAAGUACAUUCUUAGCGGCCAGGGGCAAAACAGAACAUGUUGAAAGCUGAAAUGUGCAUGAUCAAAACAAUGAAGCUAUAUAUAUGUACGUACCUGCGGACUUCAGAACAAGUGCGCAUAAAAAGAAUAUGGCUCCUUGGUGUAGUCCAUAUAGCCCUUUAACCCAUCUUCUGGUGCUUCCAUGGCAAACACCUUCAUGCGCUGGACAUGCUGGACCUUCCCCCAUUCAGGGGUGUCAUACUGCAAUGAUAUCAGCUUGAACAGGCUGGGCCUGCAAUGUACAUUCAAUUUGCUUAGCUCUGCCUCUUGCAAGUAUGUUGGCAGCGUCUCAGUGCACAAAUCCAUCCACGCAGCUGUUCUGAGUGACGGCAGAUUCUCUAGUAGCUUCAGCAUUGGGCAACUGCAGAUGGUGAUCUUGUGCAGCCUUGGGCAGCUGCUGACACUCUCUAGCAUUGGGUUGUCCCAUAACUUGAGCUCAGUGAGGGAAGGGAAGCUCUCUACGGUGACCAGGUUCAGCACAUUUCUUAGGUCCAAGAGCGUCAGCUGAGUUGCAUGGCGUGAGAGUCCAGGAGGAAGACGAUGCAGUUUGCAGCCAUCGAUCGUAAGCCCCUCCAGAGCAGGCAUUGCCGGUAUCUGCUGCUCCCAGUCCCACUCUGUCCAUCCUGACAUGCCCUCGAAACCCAGUGCAGUCAGCUUGGGAAAUGCAAAGCCAGUACCACGAGAGAUAAGACUAGCAGGCAACUGCCUACUCAUGAUCAAGUCUGUCACUACUCCUGCUGCUGCAUUGUCCUGGCCAUCGAUUGAGGGAGUGAGGACGAAACCAUGCCCAAUACAUUGGAUGGCCGGAGCUUGAUCGACCCAGAGGUAGUCCAAGAAGGGGAGCUGGCCCAGUCCAUAUGGCAGCUCGUCGCAACACAAGUAGCCCUCCAGGACCAACCGCCUUAAGCCACGGAAUAAGGCUGGCAUCAUCCAGGCCCACUGUGGUAAGCCCAACCCAUAGUAACCUUUGAUGACAAGUUCUUCUAUGCAGGUAGGAGGACAUAGGUUACCCAACACUUGCUCAGCUCGGUCUUGCUCCUCCCUGCUGAUGUUGCCUCGUUUGAGCUCUCCGUUGUCUCCGAGCUGACUUGCAAAUCUCAUGUUCAGCUCUUCUAGGUGCUCUUUGUUGCAAAGCUUUGCUCUAGCAGCCACUGAACCUGAAGGUGCCUUCUCCAAACCUAUUAUAUCUAGGAAUCUGAGCUUUGUCAGAGGCCCUAACUCUUCCAAGCUACACCAACCUUCUGCGCCAUCAUCCGAAUGGGUUGGAAAGCCCGCCAUUAUGACCAGAUCUCUCAGCUUUCCAAAACCACGAGGAACUGAGCUUAUCUUGGUGCCUCUAAUGUGGAGUAGCCUUAGCUUCCGUAGCUUCAAGAUGCUAUCAGGAAGCCGUGAGAUGUUGCUACACAUCACAAACUCAAUGCCUUGCAAAAACUGAAGAUCUCCUAUGACUUCAGGGAUCGUGGAAAUGCUUGUAGCGCGAAGGCUCAAGCGUCUCAAAUGUUUGAGGUGGCUUAUGGAGUCUGGCAGCUCAUCAAGAUUUACAUUAUCUAGAUACAAUACUCUUAGGCAUGAUGAAAGGUUGCUCCAUAACUCCUUUGAAUUAACCACAGUGCUUCCGAAUAACAUCAGUGUUCUAAGGGAUACCUGUUUUCGCAGAAUGCCGGGCUCUACCACCUUGUUUGAAAUAGAUAGGCGACGGAUCUUUGGAGCAGCAGCAAGAGCGAUAUUGGCAUCCUGGCCCUCACCAACAAGGACCCCUUCAUGUUUUGUUAUGUACUGGGCAAAGGAGCGGAUGACAUCAUGCAUGGUGCAUGCUGACUGACCGUAGGCCCCUUUCUUCGGUUCUAAGAGGUUCCUUGAGACCAACUCUCUGUAGUGCUUUAGCCCCACAUCUUCAAAUAGCUCUGAUGACGCUGUCGUUUUGUUGUUCACGUAUUCUUCUGAGAUCCAGAGAUUGACUAUAUCUUCGCGUCUGAUCGGUUCAUUUGUAGGGAAAAGUGAGCAGUAUACAAAGCAUUGUUUCAAGUCUGGAGGCAAGUCCGCAUAACUCAAGUAGACAGCCUUGUUGAUAUCAUCGUCGAUUCCUGAUAUCGACCAUGCGAAGUGGUCACGGACAUGCUCCCAAGCAUCUCUUGUUUUUCUGAUGUGGAACAAGUGCCCUCCAAGCACCUUAAUUGCCAGCGGCAAUCCCUGGCAUUUUUCCACAAUCAUCAUCCCAACAUCCUUUAAUAAUCCAUCAACCUCAACUUCAUCAAUUUCAUCAGACACUACCUGUCAUAAAAAUGUGUCAUGUUAGAGGAUGCAACAGAGGAGAGUGCCUAGGAAUAUAAAGAGUUUUUAGUUUGUCCCAAAUUAAACUAUUUUAAGUUUAACCAAACCUUUCAAAGAAUAAUACUUUUUACAGUACCAAAUGAGUAUAAGUACAUCUACAAAGAAAUUUUAUAUUGGAUGUCAAAAUAAUAAAUACUAUAUUGGCCGGUUCACGCCACAAAGACCAAAAUUUGGUAGAUAUCAUUAUAAAAUUACAGUUAAUUGUGAGACAUGAUAAAAAUAUUUUAUUCACUUUUUAAAUCCAUGGAGAGAAAAAUGGUAGUAAAUGUUAUUUUUUUGCCCUAUGAGAAAAACAAACCCAACUUUCCAACGGUGCCUUAUAUCUGUUCAGGUUCACAAAGCCGUUCUUCAGCUUCUCCUACCAAACAACUAUUUUGUAACAACUUCUCCCUAGAAGUCACCAAAACCAUACUCCCACAUGCUCAUGAACGCUGGUGAAGCUAAAUAUACUAGCUUCUCCUAGCUCCCUCUCUGCUAUCUUUCAUGAGAAACUGUUUUACCAAACAUUUUUCAAAAACAGCUUCAACUUCAAGUGAAGCUGCUCAUAGAACCGAAGAAAAAAAUUAUUUCAGUAGUGAAACUGAGUUAUACCAAACAGCUCUUCUUAAUCUCAAAUCACUACAAUAUACGAUAGUGCAACUGAAUUUAUUUUUUAUAGGAAAAAUAAAUAGGUAAAAAUUACUGACCUGCUUUUUUAGUAGGACCCAAGCAUCAUCGCCUUCUAGCUUGCCAACUCGGUGGAGAUGGCGCGCAUUCAUUUUGCGAGCGACGACUUCAUUUCUAGUGGUCACCAACACUCGACUCCCCGGUGCAGCAGCGUCUGCAAGCGGUGCUCUAAGAAGGCCACUCCACACGUCCUCGCUCCACACAUCAUCCAUCACCACUAGCAGCUUUUUUCGCCGCGCCGCCUGCUUCAGAGCACAUUCCAGCAGGGCCCUGCUGUCACUCGCGGCGCUGCCACCACCGCCAUAGCUGCCGCCAUGAAGUGCGGCAACGACGUUCCGUAGGACACUAAGAUGGUCAACUCCCUUGUUGAUGCUCAGCCAUAUCCGCUCAUCAAAGCUCUGCUCCACCUUGCCGUCGUUGAACACCAUCCUGGCAAGGGUGGUCUUGCCGAUGCCGCCGGCACCUGUGAUAACAGCGGAGACAGUGACAUUGCCGCUGCUGGUUCUGUGGGCAUCAGUGUCCACCUCCUGCAGAAGCAGGGCGAUGAGGUCCCGCGCGUCUUUCUCGACCUUGUCGCCCACGACACCAGAUCGGACGAUGCUGUCCGACGAGCCCAACAAAGAGCUUGCAGCAGCUCUGUUGGUGGAGUGAAGAAUGGAAGAGUGGAGCUCCCGGACGAUGAACCCAAAGCGGGAGCUCCUAUCCGCGAUGUCGCGCAGCCGUUUGUUGAGCGCCUUGAUCUUCCUCCCGAUCUCAUGUGCGGCGACGGGGCUGUGGAAGCAAAAGAUGUUGAAGCACCUUGAAGAAGCAGUUCUGCUUGGAGCUGCUAUGGGAUCCUCCUCUCCACCACCAGGACCCUCCAUGAUCUGGCAGAGGUCGAGGAUGUCGUCGACGUCGUACAUGGCAUCCUUGAGCUCCCUGACCCACCUCUCCACAGCAUUGCUUCGGAUGCGUGCCAUCUCAGCAUCCUCCAUUAUGGCACUCAGGUCGCCGAGCAUCGUUUCGAGCUUGGUGAUCUCGCCAGGGAUGCCGAGGAGCAUCUCCACCUCCUCCUUCGCUAUGCCCAUCAGGAUGCCGGCCAGCUUGGCCGCGAAUGCACCCAGCACCACCGCCAUGGUCAGGAGGAAGUGGUAGCUUGUUACCUAGCUAGCAGCAGCGAAACAAGAGGAGGAACAGGUUUGUGCUCCAGCUCCAGCUCCAGCUGACCAGCUCCACUCUCUGCUGACUUGGGAGGGAGACGACGUUCUAUAUACAAGCAAGAGUGGACUGCUGGAUGCAAGAUUACAAUACGGACACAUACAUGAGACCGUGAGAGUGAUGUUCAACGCAUAGGGCCACGCAACAGCCAUGUUUAUCGGCCUGUAGUCAGAACGUAAAGAUCGAGGAAGUCUUUCUACUCAUCACCCCGGAAGGGCGGAAGAGCACGUGGACUGCCAGUGCUCUCCUCUCUAGCGAUGUCAACGGGAAAUUUCCCGUAAGGGAACACCACCCCAUCCCCGUCCCCGAGGAUUCUAUACGGGUCCCCGUCCCCGACGAAGGCAUGGGGUAUGCUCAACUGAAGGAGGAAGCCGGCGGCCAAAGAAAAACGAAUAUAUAAAAAAAAAAACUAGAUCGGAGGUUGUAGCGGGACCACAGGAGUAUCACCUUCUCUGUGUAGGGAAUCAGCUCGCCGGAAGCUCAUUGGCUCGGUGGCGUUGAGGAUCCCCGAGCACCCACCGGCGGGCGGCGGCCGACCAAUCCUGCAUCUGCAUCCAACUGGCGGACGUCGGUGCUUGGAUGGGAGAUAGUGUAGGGGCGGGCGACGGCAGUUGGGUCAUGGGUGAGAGAUGGGAGGGUCGGCGGCCGGCGGUCGCGCUUGAGCAGCCGGGAUCUGGCAGAGGGUGGCGCUUGGGAACGGGACUGCGAAGUGACGGAGAGAUGACCAGUGGAGAUUUUUUAGAUGAGACGGAAUGGACGGAUGGAUGGAGUUCUACCUCAAAUUCACGGUCUCAAAUUGACGGUUAGAUACAUCGAUGAACUUCUUCUCUCUAGUUCCUUUCUAUUUUCUCGAACCAUACAUGAGAUGGAAUGAUACUUAAUUAGCUGGGUAAAUUUGACCCGUCUCCUAGGGAAAUUUCUUAGGAUAAGGUCUUGUUUAGUUCCAAAUUUUUUUGCAAAAUAGGAAUAGUAACACUUUCGUUUGUAUUUGACAAAUAUUGUCCAAUCAUAAACUAACUAGAUUCAAAAGAUUCGUCUCGUCAAUUCCGACCAAACUGUGCAAUUAAUUUUUAUUUUCAUCUAUAUUUAAUACUCCAUGCAUGCGUCUAAAGAUUUGAUGUGACGGGAAAUUUGAAAAAUUUUGCAAUUUUUUUUUUAACUAAACAAGGCCUACAUUGUUACAAUCUUUGGCCCCAUAUUUCGUCUCAUGUAAUGCCAUGUAAAUUUUUUGUCGAUACAGAGAAAAGAGAUAAGAGAAGAGCACGAAGCAACACCUCGUAAAGCUAAUAGGAAUAUGAGACAAGUAUUGUACUAUUGUUUAUGUGUAAAUUAAAGAAUUAUGAGUUACCAUGAGACAAUUUAAAGACAACAAUUGCACAUAUUGUGUAUUAAGUUCUCUUAAAAUUACAUGACGCUAUACGAAAUCAUCUAUGAGACAACACAAAUAUACUUUGCCCUUGUACGAAAUAAGAGGUCAAGGCCUAAUAGGGUCCUGGCGACGCUUCACUGACAUUUCUACAUAGUCCGUACAAUCAAUAUCGACUAAUGACAAUAUUUUGUACUAGCAAAUAAACACCAAAAUGGGUUGAUAAAGAUUUUUGAAUAACUUUAAACUAGGCGUUGUAUGAUAGAGUUUGAUUUUAGAAAAAAAACAGAAACUAGUUCGUAAUUUCUAUGGUAAAACAAUUUCCUCAGAUUAAAAGAGAACGCAUUGUUUUUCAUGUAUUUCUAUUUUUCCAACUCUUUAGAUACUUGUAGUAUGAUUUAGCUCCCUGAACUUUCAACUUAAUUUGAGUUAAUUGUCUUGACGUGGCGCUAUAUUCAUAAAAUCACCAACAAAAACAUCCAACGCGUAAAAACACAUUUGAUUCAAAAAGUUGAGGACAAGGGGUCCAAAGAAAUGAUUUUGUAGUUUAGGGAGCAAAAUCAGAACUGUAUAGUUGAUGGAGGUAAAUUGAACUUUUCACUUAUAUAAGGCCGUGGACAAUUUUAUACAUACUAGAUGGCCCUUUGAAUUAGGUAGAAAGCCAUUUUCUUAUUUAGGGCUCGUUCGGUUGAUCCGGUUUAGGUCCCUGGAAUGAUUUCAGAUGGUUUUGCUUCAUUAAUUUACAUAGUUUUGAUAAGCUGGAAUGGUUUCUGGACCAAAAUCAUAGCAACCGAACGCAGCCUUAUUGGAAAACUCACAUAGGCCCGUUGAACAGCCCAUCAGGCUGAAAGUGCAUACUGGGCUUUCGCUCUUCCCAGGCCUUCACUGAUCACACUGGACCAAACCCCGUCAGCCCUACUCGGCAACUCGCCUCAGACAUCACAACGGCACUCCUUAGACUGUCUCCAAUAACAAGACCUAAAUACGAGACCUAUCGGGUGGUUUGAGUCGUGUACAGUUAAAAGGUCACGGACCUAAAACAUUGUCUAUUCCAACAGAGAACCCAAAAGGCGUGGCCCAGUUUCUCCUCUUCCUCCAUCGGGUGCUGCCUUGCUCCUCCGUCUUCGUCUUCUCCACGGCCGGCCACCGAGCAGCGAGCUCCGGCGCGAGAUCUGGCGGUUUCCAUGGUGGCAGUGAAGGUGUAUUCGGCAACCACGGCGGCGGCGACGACGCAGCGGCGGCGGCGGCGGCGCAGCAGAAGCUAGGGAAAGCCGCGUCACAGGCGUGGCGGGCGGUGGUGGAGUGGAUCGGCUUCCUCCUCCAGGUCCUGCUCUAGAUCCUCCGAGGCACGUCCUCGUACACCUAGCUCCUAUCCUUCGUUGGCUUCUACAACCUUCAUGUACUGGCUCAGCACCCCACAGCCAUGUGCGAGAGAUUUGCGUCGUUCCUCUUGCGAGACGCUUUUUGCGUUUCGUUUCAGCCGGUACCUAAAAUGGGUCCUUUGUUUGGGUCUUCUAUUGGAGCAUGUUUUUGGACAGGCAAAAUACUGUGCACAACCUAUUUUGUGUUUGGGUUAUAUUGUUGGAGACAGUCUUACCGUGUCGCUGCUUGUGGGGUCGCAUGCAAGAGUCACUGACCACUGGAUCCAAAAGAUCAGCUGCCACAACAGCGGUGUACACGCUGCAAAGCCAUUCCCGUUCCCGGUUCUACAGACACAGACACAGAGCAGCGCUGCACAACUAUCUCCAAUCCCGUCCAGAAACCCGCGCUGAGAAAAACCUCACGGCAACUAGGGUUCCCGGCGAGGGCGCGCGCGUCCAUGGCGCGGAGCAGGCGCGGCGGCUUCGGCGGCGGCGGCGGCAACGUGAAGGUGACGCCGAACCUGGCGUGGGACCGGGAGGGGACGCGGAUGCUCAACCUCAGCGUGCUGCGGCGACUCGACCCCGGCGUCGCCGACAUCCUCAUCACCGCCGCGCACGUCGUCGCGUACAGCUUCGACGAGGGCCAGGGGGAGUGGGUACGCUGUCGUACCGGAUCCCCUGCACUCUCCCGUUCGAUUUAGCUCUGUUGCAAUUGCGAGCCCUGAUUUUGUGCGCGCGCGUGUCUGCUGCAGACCCGGAAGCCUGUGGAGGGGUCGCUCUUCGUCGUCAAGAGGUUUGUGCAGUCAUCCUGUGUCCUCAUCAAUGGACUCGUGCUGAUUUCGUCCAUCGCUAUUGUUUGUGCCUUGCACUUGGCGUCGGUUUGGUUGUUGGAUGGAUGCCUAGAAUUCGUAGCUACUGUACUUCAAUGCUGCUGUGUAGGAAACGUAGUAUGAUUAUCUUCUGCCUGUUGUUCCUGCUGCUCUUGAAACAGCAAUGUCAUUUCAGUGCAAGUGAUUCAAGUACACAUGUUAUUUUGCAUUGUUGGCUUGUUGCUACCACAUUGAUGUGCCUUUUGCGGUAACCGCUAUUGGUCACAUGUUGGUAUUGUUAUUGGUUGAUUUAUACACUAUUAUUUGCAGUUGAUAAACAUAGUGCACACCUAUACUGGGUCACGUUUUUUGCGGACUAUAUACUAUCUACUAAUCUACUGAUUCGGCAGUGUAUGUUUCUGAAAUGUAUCAGGGUAAACACAGAUUAUUUUCCUAGACAACAUAGGCCACCAAGGAAUAUGUCCAGUAACAUUUUCUUUCCAUGCAACUGUAGCUUUGUCUGUUUAUUUUUUUAGUAAAGUAUGUCAUGACAGUUUCAUCAUGUAAUUUCGUGUUGUUCAGUAUUCAAUUAGUGACAUUGUUGAUGCUCUGGCAUACUUGUAGUUAUUUUAAAUUCUGAUGAAGAUAUUGGCUCUAUCAACCACGAAGAGUACAGGUCACCUUGUUUUAUCCUGUUUACUUUGCAAUAAUAAGCAUUUAUUCUUGUAGGAACACCCAGCCCAGAUUCCAAUUUAUCAUCAUGAAUCGUAUAAACACAGGUAUGCUUUCACAGCUACUUUAUUGAACACACACUUGUGCAAAUUCACCCUAGUUGAACAUAAGAAAUGUUGAAACAGAUCAUAGAUUGAGCACUUGGCGAUGAAAUACAAAUAUCAGUACAUAAUUUAGUUAAGAGGCUUCACCACUGGCCUUUCGAGCUAAGUUAAACUAUCAAAUGUUUCACUCACAAUAUAUUCACUGGGGAACGUGAUAACUUAGGCAUCAUAAGAGCUCCAUUAUUGAAAAUUGAUUCCUCUUAGGUUUACACUUGUGGCUGUUUGUGGCAUUGCACAAACAGAAACAGAAACAGAAACAAUGUUUGCUCAUUCAUCUGACAACUUUACCAAUCAUAAUUCUGUGUUGAUUAAGCGAAAUGUGGCUAUUCAAUUUCCAUUUUCCAAUGGUACCAACGUCAGUGAUGUUAUUUCUUAUAUGUGAAUUUUAUGUUGCCUUUUCUCCUAGAACAGAAAAUCUAGUCGAAGAUCUCUUGACGAGUUUUGAGGUUGAGGUGCAAAGCCCCUACUUGAUGUACCGUAAUGCUGCUGAUGAAAUCAUUGGAAUUUGGUUCUAUGAUCCACAGGAAUGUCAAGAAGUUGCACAUCUUUUUAGCAGGUAACUAUUUGAUCUGUUCCUUUCAAUUUCAUCCACACUGGUAUGUGGUAUCAUCCACCCCGUUUUGUACUGUCCUUUCUAGGUAGAUGCACCAAUUAUGCAAUUGCAGCCUUGGCUAAUCUCAUAUUGCGUUCCACUUCUGUGCUAAUAUUAUUCUCUUUUAAGAUGAGACUAAAUAACAAUUUAAUCUGUUCCUUUCAGUCUCAUCUACACUGGUCAGACAUUUAAAUGUUUAAUCAAUACAUCCUGACUCGUACUAACUCUAGUCCACUUUUGAAUUAUAGUUCCUUAUGUGUGCCAACUUGGUGUUAUAGAAGGGGAAGGGCAAGACAAGAUCUUGCAAGUUUUAUGUACUUUUCUUUAUUAAUUCUGAUUAGCCUCACAUUCAAUGUAUAGGAUAGCAUAUGCAUAUUCAAGGGCGUCACCCAAGACAAAUCUUUCUUCCAAAAGGUAUACCAGAUUUGCAUGCACUCCUGUUUUCGUUGGAAAGAAGGCUGUACCUGAUUUUUUUUAUGUCAGGAGUUGCUAUGUUUACUUGUUAUAUUUUUGUGUCCCCAUUUUCAUUUUACUAAUCAUUUCUAAUUUCAUGCUCAGUAUUUUCUCUUCACAUAUGGUCGUUGAUAAAAGUCGGGUUGCUGUUUUAGUCAUAUGCUAACUACAAUCAUCUCUUUCAGGAAGUAUGAUUAUUGCAGUAGAUACUCAUACAAAAGUAUCAAAAUAAUUUUGGCAUUAAAGCCCUUUUAGGCCAUGAGGUUUACUAACCACGUUGAUUAUUAGACUUUUCAAAAAAAAGAGGGACGAACAUUGAGUUGCUUGAAUAUAUUAUUGAAAAAUAAAGAGAAAAUACAAAAUAGUGUGAGUGUGACUUUUAGUUGAAUUGAUCCCCUUGAACUCAAAAUGUCACCACCUACAGUUGGCUAGGUGUUAUGUUGAAACUAUCUCUCCUACUAUGUCUGUUACAGUGUAUUUGAAGAACCAGAAGCAGCAUCUGGGCCAUAUGCUCUACCUGUAGUUGAAGAUACUCUACAACAGCCACCUACCACGGAUGAUGACGAUGUUGAAGAGUUCUUCCUAACCCCUUCGAAGGUAAGGAAACUUCCCUUCUAUUUCUCGGAUAGCUGUAGUUUAAUUUUAAUGUUGUUCAUAUUUAUUAUGAUCGUUUGCAAUCUUAAUUAACCAUUACAUGAAUUUCCUCAAACAGGCGGCCACAUGUGUACAUACAAUUGGUGGAACAGGCGCAGUACAACCAAACCAAUCUUUCAGGGCUAUCCCUUCUCCAGGUCAUGGAUCACAUAAUUCUACUGCAGCACACUCUUCUUCCCUGCACAGUCUGCUUCCUUCACGAACUUCAUCAGUUACUCUGAGGGCCUUUGAUGUUCAUAGACCCAAUAGCUCUACCACCAUUCAGCCUACAAGUCUUUUAGAUUCAAAACCACCACUACUUGCACCGAUGGCUACUACGCAGUCAACAGUAGCUAAAGCUGCUUCGUCACUGCCUACUGUUCCUCCACUUCAUCCUCCCUUUGCUGAUCAGCAACCAAAAAGUGCUCCCUUGCUCCACCCCUUUUCACUACCCCCUGUGCCCCCUGUUCCACCAUAUGGCAUGCCCUUGCUUCAACCAUUCCCACCUCCUAAUCCGCUGCCAUUGCUUACCCCAGCAUCUUAUAGCCAGGUGGUAACAAGAGAGCAAGUAGGCGCUGCACUGCUGAGGCUUGCACAGGUAUUCUCACUUCCUUGGACUCUGCUCGUUGCCAGUGCAUAGUAUUUUUGAGAGUUCGCAGUCAACUGAGGCUUGUUAUUCUACAAGGAUUUUUUUUUCUAGACCAAUCUAAUUAUUUCUACAAGGAUAGUUUUGUGCCAAUCUAAUUAUUUCUACAAGGAUAGUUUUGUGCACAGCCUUUCUGGACAGGGAUAAUUUUGUAUUGCGUUUUCACAAACAUGUCUGUUAAACAAAGCUCAACACAUCUCCCCUGUGAAACUUCUGCUGAGACUAACAUUUCUUUUGGCAGAAUGAUAAUUUCAUCGACAUGGUUUACCGGGAGAUGGCUAAGAGACCGUAACCAUGAAGAGAACAUGGUGGUGUGUCUGCGGCAGCUGCUUAGGUGUCUCAUCUUUUGCCUUUUGCCCAGCCUUUUUGGACACAUCUGUGGAAUGUGGUGGCUGCGGUUUAACAGCACUGUUUGAGUUGUAGUCUGAUAUAUCAAAUGCAGAGGCCAAUGGGUUUUAAACAACUUUUGUAGUUUGAGCCGUUGUGUGGGAAUGGGAAUGUUCCCGGGUAUACAACUUGCUGCUUGCGCAGCUGGCAGCUGCACCCAACAUCUGAGGUGAGGCGGUGAGCUCGUGUAUAAUUUUAUCCGAGUUUACAUUCUACUUUGUGAAAUCAAAAUCUGUCUGUUUAGUUCAGUAUUUUUAUGCCUGUUCAGUAUUCUGAAGGAAGCUGACAGUUGGUCGAGGGUAUGGAUGUAUGCUCAGAUCAUCCAGGUUGUGUCCUCAUCGAGGAGAAUUUCGGCGUCUAUUUUGUUCUUAAUAUAAAAAUCCCAUCUAUUGGUAUUUUUUUUUCUAUGUUCAGUACUUACUGCUUAUAAAGAUGAGCAAUAUUAUACGAGCCAUCCACAAAUGCAUGUAAUGGUCGGCCCCUGCGAUGAACAAAAUGGCAGAACGGUAUGCAUUGUCAAUAGCUAGCUGCAGCUUUUGGCCUUGGCGCAGACGCCUAUUUGUUCAGGUACUCGAUCGCCACGGCGGCGUGGAGCGCGGCUCCGAUGGGGAGCGCGGCCUCGUCGAUGUCGAGGUGCGGCGAGUGCACGUGGUGGAUCUUCCCCGUCUCGGCGUUGCGGACGCCGACGCUGAAGAAUGCCGCUGGGAUCCGCUGCGAGUAGAAGCCGAAGUCUUCGGCCGCCAUGAACUGGGGGCACAACCUCACGUUGGCCUCCCCGAUCAUGCUCUCGGCCACCGCCUUGGCGUGGCCGUACACUGCCUCGUCAUUCACGGUGGCUGGAUAUGGCUUCAUCUUCUCCUCCAUGAAGUCGACGACCGCCGUGCACCGCCCCACGGCGGCCUGCCCUUGUACCACCUGGCAUUAUUGCCAACGUUCAUUCCAGGGAAUUUGACUCAUUUCAUUUCAAAAUCCUACAGAACAGCCUGUUUGUCUUGGUUUGUUACCUCUCGGAUUCUCUUCAUGAGGUAGGACAGGCCUUCAGUUGUCAUGCUCCGGCAGGUGCCACCCAGGGUCACAGACUCUGGAAUGACGUUGAAAGCUUCGCCUCCUCUGAUGAAGGUCACGGACACCACCUGCAAGCGCAAGCAAAGAAGACGCCAAUUACACUCGCGAGUCAGUCGGGGAAGCCCGCCGCUGCAGAUCGCGAUGACGAAACGUACAGCGCCCUGCAGGGGGUCGAUCUCGCGGGCGACGAGCUGCUGGAGGCUCAGCACGGCGGAGGAGGCCGCGACGAUCGGGUCGACGACGAGCUGGGGCCCCGCCGCGUGGCCGCCUUUCCCGGUGAUGGUCGCCGUGAACCGAGCUGACCCGGCGAGGAACGGGCCCGGCCUAGAGCCGACGGUGCCCACCGGUAGGGCAGUGUCCACGUGCACGGCGAAGAUGGUGUGCACGUCGUCCAGGACGCCUUCCUUGAGGACAUAGUACCCGCCGGCGUGGCCCUCCUCGGCCGGCUGGAACACGAGCUUUACUGUACCCUAGGGACAAAAUCCACAAUUAUGCCAAAUGGCCAUUUUUUUAAUAAGAACUGGGAGUGAAUCACAUUAUGGUCAGCCCGUACACAUGGUCGACUCAGCAAACAAAAUUCAAAUGCCAAAUUAAAUGGCCAUUGGAGAACGCCUGCCUGCUCUCCCAUGUCCAUGCCCAAGUACAUAUAUGGUCGACUCAGCAAACUAAAUUCAUCGCCUGCUCUCCCAUGUGUUGAAUCUGACACGGACGAUCUGAAUCCAGCAUCUUGGCACAGCUAGCUGGAACCAGCUUCAGGAACAAUGGACGGACUCUAGUCCCGUCGUGGGUUUGGAAUGCCAACUCGAGACCUUCUAAAUUUUUUUGCAAAAUGAGUAUCGCAGCAUUUUCGUUUGUAUUUAAUAAAUAUUAUCUAAUUAUAAACUAAUUAAGUUUUAAAAAAAAUCAUCUCACAACUUAUAAAUAAACUAUGCAAUUAGUUAUUUUUUAUCUAUAUUUAAUGUUUCAUGCAUGUGCCGCAAGAUUCGAUGUGACGGAGAAUCUGAAAAUUUUUGUAAAUUUUUUUUUGGAACUAAACAAGGCCCUGAAUUUUGUAUUGCACAGGAUGCUUCGUUGAAAGUCAAGUAUCGAUCCUUUUUUAUCUCUUGAUUGAAAAUCGAGCAUGCAGAGUAAAAAAAAAUGGUGACAAGAGUAUAGUAUAGUACUACUAUAGUAGUACCUUGAAAAGGUCCCUCCUAGACUGAAGCAGCCUAGCAGCUCCGAGUAGCAUUGCCACGUGAGCAUCAUGGCCACAGGCGUGCAUCUUACCGUCCUCCUUGCUCUUGAACUCCCACUCUACCAAUUCCUGCAAAAUGCAUGCAAAUGGAGGAGCAAUCGGGAAAACUGGUCAUCGAAAUAUUCGACCAACCGCAUAUAUAGGACUCCAUGCUCACCAUAAAGUAUAGUAGUACACGUAGUAAGCAGAUGAAGCAAUAUCUCAUUUUCGUGCUUGAGUUGUCGGCAAAGAUCAUGUCCGUUCGGUUUUCUCUGUGUUACGAAUGCGACAGGCAAAGCACGCAGCCAGCGUGGGCAGUUUUAUAUUGACGUCGUAGACCCCGGUUGACAGAGCUCGGAUCGAUUUUGAUUCUGGCACUUCCGUAUGCAUGCUAUAGUAAGGAGCUGUGUUUUUUUAUCUUUUCUCCUAAAAUAAAACAAAAUAGAAGAUCCAUGCUAUUUUCUAUUCCAUCUGCUCUAUAGCCUUAGCAGCCAUGCUCCUAUAAUGAAACAUGAAAACGUGAAAAGGGACAGGAGGAAUAAUGUUAUUUUAUAACGUGGGCGUUCCCGAAUCAAGAAUGUCGUCGUUCUCAAAAGGCGAAACAUGGCCCAUGUUCUACGUUUCCGUCUGCUAAGAUUCUAGUUCCUCUAACAAGAAACUGUGCCAAAUAAGGCCUAUCGAUUAUGGAAAGUUGGAACGGAACACAUGACAAUAAUGCUGCUGGUCUCGGUCCGUCACAGUCCAGUUAGUACAAAAGAGACUGCAUGAUAAAAAGGAGAGAGCGCAUGAUACGUGAACUAUAGCUAGUACGUAGUGACGACACUGACAAGAAUGGCAUGCGGCAACGCGGCGGCAUACGAUCGAUCGAUCGAUCGAGGCUAGAAAAACAGAGAAUGCAAUGCAUGAAUUGCAAAAGUGACUGAUCCGUGCAAAGGAAAAAAAAAAGACCUGGAGAGGGAGCGCGUCCAUGUCGGCCCGGAGCGCGAACACGGGGCCCGAGGCGGCGCCGGCGACGGUGGCCACGACACCCGUCCGAGCGACGGGCCAGGCGUACGGGACGCCGAGCGCGUCCAGCUCCGCGCGCACGAGCGCGCUGGUGCGGUGCUCCUGGAACGCCAGCUCCGGGUGCUGGUGGAUCCGGCGCCGCACGCCGAGCUGCCACUCCGCGAACUCCGGCGCGCGCGCCGCGUCCAGGAGCUCCCGCGCCAGCGCUGCCGCCGUCGCUGCCAUCGUCUUCGUCAGGACAGGAAGAGGGAGGAGACGGCGGCGGUGUUUGACGUACUGAGUAGUGAGAGGAGACAGCUGCUCUGCUCGAUCGCCUUGUCGGCGACCGAGGCGGCUGUACGCGCCGCGCCGGCCGGCGGAGGACCCCCGCGAGGGAGGUCGCCGGAAUCGAGGGUGCGGCGCUGCAGGGCCACGCAGCGGCAGCCUGCGGAGCGGCGGGGGGCGCAGGGCGGCUGUAUGCGGCGCGCGGAGCGGGGAAGGAGGACGCGGCUGAGGUCGUGGGGGCCGAGGCGGGUCGGGGCCGCGCCAGAGGUCGGAAUGGACUGGUAGCGGUGUUUGUCGCUGGCGUCGACGCGGCACGGAAGGAUCGAGGGAGCUUUUCUUUUUUUUUUCUUUUUUUUUUCUGAUGAUGUGGAAGCGUGGAUGGCAUCCAAUGGUUGAAGGGAGGAUCCGACGGCCAGGGAAGCAGCACUGUAGAUGAACAGGAACAUGGGUGGCGAAAAGGAGAUGAAUAGAAAACCCAUCUUGCUGGGCUGCGGAUUAUGCUGAUGGAUGACGCGAAAACUGUAUAUUUAGUUAGUUGCACAAAUGAACGCAGUAAAUCCACAGAUGUAAUAACCAUGUGAAACUUUUAGAAACCGAUUGGUUGGCUACCAAAAUUUACCCAGCUAAGGAUUUGACAAGCCAUGGUUUUAGCUAAUGAUUAGUUGGCUUCCAAAACUUGCCAACCAUCUCCAACAGUUUGCCAAAAAUUACUUGGCAAAUCUUAUGAUUUGACAAGUGGCUAAAACAUAUGGCAAGUGAAAAAAGAUUGUAUCUCCAACAGUUUGGCAUUUGAGUUUGGUAAAAACAAAACACUCAUACAAUAAACUGUACGAAAGGAAUUCAACGCUACUCACUAUUCACUGUAGCUACGUGUGUGUUUGUGUUGCGUGCACUGUGCAGUGCAUCCACUCCUUUGACAAUUGACAUGCAUGCUCACUACUGUUCCUACUCAAUUUAUGUGAAAUCCUGCGCCACCUGUUGAACAACACGUCAACACUAUAACUUUACCGGAGAAAAGGUGUGUUGGAGACAAAAUAGUACCAGCAGCGCAGUGCUCAUCGGUCACACUAGGCUCCCUAUACACCGACAUACUGUACUGCAAUAGUAUGCAUGACACGGCAUGGGAACACAAAAAACAGACUAGCAGAGGACAAAAGCAGACUAGCAGAGGACACGCCUUGCGCCUGCUCUGCACGCCUGCUGGCCAACUUUUGCGGAUGGCAAACGGAGAUCGACGCGCAUAUAUACGCGCGUCGAGGCAGGAAAUAGCAAGUUACUAAAUUUUAGCAUGUCAUCUGACAAACUGUUGGAGGGGUGGUUUCUUUAGUUUUGCUAAAAAAUAAAGGAUAGCAAGUGGGUUUGGCAAACUGUUGGAGAUGCUGUUACAUUUGACUUGCCAAAUCUUUAGCAAUUUUUUUGCCCAACUUUUAGCUUGCUAAAUUCUUGGUAUGAUAAAUUUUGGUAAGCAACUAAUCAGACUCUUGUUUUUAUCUCGACCUUGUCCAACCACCUCCAUCAUUGCUAGCAGGAUGCCUAAAUUAAAUUGCUCUGCCGCCGUCCCCACCACUUAACCGUAGUCAAGCGUGGGCUCAUGCAUUAGGGUUAGGAAAGGAGAGAUAGAUGAAGGAGGUGGCCACAAGGUGCGCUAAAAAACUCAUAACUGAUUUUAAGUCUUUGCUUACUUUUUUAUCAUAUUAUUCACAUCUAAUCAAGAAGAGAGAGCGCGCUAAAGAUUUUAGAUUUUGGUAUUAUAGAAUUUUUGUUUUUAUUUGACAAAUAUUAUCUAAUUAUAGACUAACUAGACUCUAAAGAUUUAUCGUGUGAUUUACAGAUAAACUGUACAAUUAGUUUUUAUUUUCGUUUAUAUUAUGCUUUAUGUAUGUGCCCUAAAAUUUGAUAUGACGAGGAAUCUUUUUAGAUAAACUAAGGCCUAAACACACCUAACGAGCGAGACAAUCCGCCUGCCGCCGCUGCACCUGGUCUCUCAAAUCACAUCGAGAAGUUUUUUUUUUAAAAAAAAAAUCACAUCAAGAACAUAUCCUGUCCAUCUCCAUGCUUCCAUGCUUUCUCUUUAAAAAUACAUACAAAUUCAAUCGUACUAUCUCUGUCCUAAAAUAAAAGUUGUUCUUAUUUUUUGAGAAGUUAGUUUUAAACUUUAAUCAAUUAUAAUAAAAAAUAUUAAUAUUUAUCAUUAGAGAAAUUGUUGAAUAUACUAUAAUAAUAAUUUUUAUUUAGAGAUAUAAAUAUUACACAUAUUUUUUUCAUAAAUCUAGUUAAAGUUAAGAAAAUUUUACCAACAUAUAUUCCAUAACAUCGUCUAUUCUAAGAAUGGAGGGAGCAGACUGAUAAAUGAUUAGAGGAUGCAUGUUGAUGUAAAAAAUUUUAUUAGACAUUUUUUUUUGGAUAAGAGGGAAAAAAAGGAAUAUCGUAACCAUAAAUUUUUUUAACUCCUAUGGAUGUGAGUUUUUCUUAGUUUUUUAUCAUUUAAAAUUUAGUCAAUUUUUUUUUGUGAGAAUCUCAUAUACUAUGAUCAAUGAUAUAUAGUGUUUUAAUACUAUUUUAAAACAUUAGAAGAAUUCUACUUUUUUAUAAGCGGGUCGGGCUGAGGAAUGACAUGGUCACGCAAACCGGGCCACGACCUGGUCCCAUUGCAUGCUGAUUAGGCCUUGUUUGGAUACACUUAAAAACCCGCGGCACAUGUAUAAAAUAUUAAAUAAAAAUAAAAAAUAAUUAAUUACACAAUUUACAUGUAAAUUUACAUGUAAAUCGUGACACAAAUAUUUGAAGCCUAGUUAUUUUAUAAUUGGAUAAUAUUUAUCAAAUAAAAACAAAAGUGUUAUAAUAUUAAAAUCUAAAAAAAAACUUUUUAGAUCUAAGCCUUAGUGUUUACUCUUUUCGUUUCUCCUUGCGGAAACUUCGUUCAACCUCAAAUUUUGAUUAAACAAGCCUUUUUUUUUUGCAAUAUACAUACUAUAUCUGUCCAUAUAUAUUUUGCUUAUUUUUUUCGUACACUUUUAUGUGUUUUUUAGUUAUCGGAACAUGGGAGCACCUACGCGAGCAUCGGGCGCCGAUGGGCGAGGGCGCGAAUGUGGCAAGUGGCGGUGGCGCGCUGGGCACGGCGCGGUAUUUGCGACUCGCAGCGCGCGCUGGCACAUGUCUUCCUUCCUGGUGGUGGUGCAGCUCUUCAUCACGUUUCGAUUUUUUUUUUACCUUUUUAUUUAGAGAAGUUCUUCAAGUCUCGUUUUUAUUACUCUGAGUAGCCAGAUCACAUGUUCAUGUGCAGGCUAUGGUUGUUCGAGGCCUAGCUGGGCGCCUGGGCCUCGCUCGCCGCCGGCGAGACGUGUUUGUUCAGGUACUCCAUGGCCACGGCGGCGUGGAGCGCGGCUCCGACGGGGAGCGCGCCCUCGUCGAUCUGGAGGUGCGGCGAGUGCACGUGGUGGACCUUCCCCGUCCCCUCGUCGCGGACGCCGACGCUGAAGAAGGCAGCCGGGAUCUUCUGCGCGUAGAAGCCGAAGUCCUCCGCCGCCAUGACCUGCGGCCGCACCUUCACGUUGGCCUCGCCCAGCAUGCUCUCGGCCACCGCCUUGGCGUGGGCGUACAUCUCCUCGUCGUUCACCGUGGCCGGGUACGGCCUCAUCUUCUCCUCCAUGAAGUCCACCGUUGCGGCGCACCGGCUCACGGCGGCUUGUCCUUCUAUCACCUGCACCAUAGUCCAUGUAUGACAUCGUCAUUUGUUAUGCAAGGGAAUAAUAGGGAUUGUUAGACCAUUGUAUUUGUUCAUGUGAGUUUCAGAUUUGUCAGUGUUAACUACCUCUCUGAUUCUCUUCAUGAGAUAGGAUAGGCCAUCGUUCGUCAUGCUCCUGAAGGUGCCGCCCAUGGUGACGGAUUCCGGGAUGACAUUGAAAGCUUCGCCUCCUUUGAUGAAGGUCACCGACACAACCUGCAAUGCAAGCAUAGACAGCACGACGACGAAAUGCAUGCUCGCAGUUCGUCAGCAUUGCAGUCUUGGAGUUGCAGACACAAGUUCUGUACUGGUCGUGUACGUACUGCGCCUUGUAGCGGAUCGGUUUCGCGAGCAACGAGCUGCUGGAGGCUGAGGACGGCGGAGGACGCCGCGACGAUCGGGUCGACGACAUGCUGUGGCCCCGCCGCGUGCCCGCCUUUCCCCGUGAUGGUCGCCGUGAACCGAGCCGCUCCGGCGAGGACCGGCCCUGGCCUGGAGCCGACCAGGCCCACGGGCAGUCCCGUGUCCACGUGCACGGCGAAGAUGGCCUGCACGUCGUCCAGGACGCCUUCUUUGAGGACAUGGUAGCCGCCGGCGUGGCCCUCCUCCGCCGGCUGGAAGACAAGCUUCACUGUACCCUGUGGAUGAAAUAGUAGCAGCGGUAAAUGUGGUGGCUCUUUUUCACUGUACGCUAGGUGGCUCUUUUGUCUUUUGUACUUGUAAUUUGUAAAAUGAGCUAUUACUACUUGGAACGGAGAAAGUAUUAAGGUUUUGUGCUAUUGCACAUCUACAGUUUUAGUGUGCCAGUUUGCACAAACCAAAUCAAUAUUGUCAGUGAAGCAAUUAGAACCAAAUUAAGUUUCAGAACUGUAGAAUGGGUUACUCAAAUACUAUCUCCAUCCUAUUUUAGCUGGCGCACAUGCAUGUUAAGAUUCAAAAUUUAAAAACUUUGACCAAUAAUUAGGUUAAUAAUUUUUAAUACUCAAUCCAUCCCAAAUUGUAAGUCGUUUGACUUUUUUAAUAUCAAGUUUGACCACUCGUCUUAUUCAAAGUUUUGUACAAAAUAUUACUUUUUUUGUUGUGUAUUGGUUUAUUAAUAAAAGUUCUUCAAGAAUAACUUAAAAUUUGACUAUAUUUGCAUAAAUUUUUUUAAAAUAAGACGAGUGGUCAACUUGGGGUAAAAAAAGUCAAACGACUUACAAUUUGGGAUGGAGGGAGUAACUAUUAUAAUAUAAAUUUUAUAUGAUUAGAUUUAUAUGGAAUUAUACUAUCCAAUAAUUAUAAAUUUAUAAGCAUAGAUAAUAUAACAUAAAAUCAUGAAUGAUCAAAUUGUAAUUUAGAAGGCCGUGUUAUUUUUUUUGAGAGAUCUAAGGCCGUGUUAUUUUAAGUAGCGCAAGAUAAAAUGGAAAUGUUUCUAACAAAAGUGAGCCUAAAAAUGACCCAACAGUACCUUCAAAUUGCGCCUCCGAGACUGAAGCAGCUUAGCUGCUCCGAGAAGCAUCGCCACAUGGGCGUCAUGGCCACAUGCAUGCAUCUUUCCGUCUUCCUUGCUCUUGAACUCCCAUUCUACCAUUUCCUGCCAAUUGGAACUUGGGAAGUCAUGGUAAAGCCAAUAUGUUGACAACAUUAUGUUCUGUAUAUAGUGCUCUACUUAAGGGAUCAUCAUGAAGCAUCUCCAUUUGGUUUUAUGAUGACGCGACAGGCGAGUUGUAUGGUUGUCAGUCGCUCUCAAGCUUAGGCCUUGUUUAGAUCCGAAAAAAUUUUGAAUUUCGACACUAUAACACUUUCGUUUUUAUUUGACAAACAUUGUCCAAUCAUAGAGUAACUAGACUUAAAAGAUUCAUCUCACGAUUUACAAACAAACUGUGCAAUUAGUUUUUGUCUUCAUCUAUAUUUAAUGCUUCAUGCAUAUGCCGCAAGAUUUGAUGUGACAGGGAAUCUUAAAAAGUUUUUGGAUUUUGGAGUGAACUAAACAAGGCCUUACAUGUGGGGUUUUUGGUGAUACUGAGAAAUGGCGAUUUUGUCAUGUACAGCAGCGCAGGAGGCAGAAACAAACUUAAAUCAGCGCAAAAAAUACAAGAUCUGAUCAAAUUCAAGCCAUCGCAAGAGCCGGUGAUGACCUCCGAAUCAAUCAUUCGCAGAAGUCAAAACGAAUAAAAAACGAGGGGCACGGACCUGGAUGGGAAGCGCGUCCAUGUCGGCGCGGAGCGCGAACACGGCCCCCCCGGCCGCGGCGGGGCCGGCGAUGGUGGCCACGACGCCCGUCUGCGCGACGGGCCACACAUACGGGACGCCUAUCGCGUCGAGCUCGGCGCGCACGAGCGCGCUGGUGCGGUGCUCCUGGAACGCCAGCUCCGGGUGCUGGUGGAUCCGGCGCCGCACGCCGCGCUGCCACUCCGCGAACCCCGGCGCCCGCGCCUCGUCCAGCAGCUCACGCGCGAGCGCUGGCGGCGCUGCCAUCGACGCCGCGGCUCCAACAGACAGACGAGGUGGAGGCAGAGUGAGCUGGCCGGCCGGCCGGCGAGCAGAGGUGUCGGGAGUGCCGCUCGGCUUUGUCUGUUUCCGCGUGGAGCCCUCGGCGGUUUUGAUUUGAUCCGGCGGAAAGCAGAGCAGGCCAGCAGUGGAUCCCUCGUGCCGCCCGUGGCAAGUGAGGGUGGGCCCGUCUCCUUCCCACAGGGAAAGCCCGGCCCAAUAAAGGCAGCAACGGAAGCCGCGCGAGGAAAUUUUACUUUCGCAGAGAAGAAAAAGUAAUCACCAUCAAAAGAAGAAGAAGAAGAGGAAGAAACGGAAAUCAACAGGGGGGAAUUUUCCCUUUGGAACGUCGCCUUCUCCACGGCUGCUGCGAAACUGCAGCCCGCCAAGGAGUGGAGGAGAAGCCCAAGGGAGGAGCAGUAGCGGCAGUCAAAGCGUGGCGGGCGGGCAAGCUGGAAUCCAUUGAAUUGGAGCUGUCAAGGAAUCGGAAGAGGAACCCGGCUCUCCCCUCUCUCUCCACCCGGCGCCCCGCGUCGGUUCCCCUAAUCUGCGUCCGCGGCGUGAGAUGAGACGGUGAGAUUUCCUUUCGCCCUUUUCCCGGUGAGUUCCUGGCUCGCUUUUGGUUUGGUCCUCCGUCGUCGACGUGGAGGUCGGAUCUCUGAGUCACUCUCGUUCUCUUGUGGAACCGGCACUUUCGUUUCGGUUUGUGGUAGGUUUUUACCACUGGAUAAAUGAUCUGGCGCUCGCUGUGAUGUUAGGGUUUCCAAUUUAUGUAGUAUGUAUGCUGUUUCCUUCCGAUUUAAUUAAUGAUCGCCCCAUUUAUGUCGUGCUUGUCUUGUCGUGGACAUUAUUAUUGGUAUAUAUGUAAGUUAUGGUGCUGGAGUAGUAGUAUAUGUUAGAAUCAUAACGGGAAUUCACAGCCUUAUAUAUGAUUACUUGAAGCAGCAACGCUGAUGUACCCCCAAGAUGUUGUCACAGAGUUCGGUUCAAUCUAGUUGUACUUCUCUACCUGUGGGUGUUUCAGUGAUUGACUGAAGUAGUUUGACUUAUUCAUUUUGGUUGGUCCCUCUGUUAUGACGAUGAAGUGAUCUUUAGAAUAAUAGUUUGACAUUCAUAGCAACUUUAUUUGCCAUUACUAAGAUAUAGUAUCAUCCUUUUAAUGAGAAUGUUUCCUGUUAAUUGGAACUCUCUGAACAUUUAAUGUAAAAACAGUGGCAUUGUUAACUAUCUUUAAAACUGUUACCAGUAAACCCUAAGCUGUCUGGCAUUUAUUUCUUAACUUUUUUUAACUAAACUCUGGUGUUUUUUUCUUCAAAAGAUAAUUAAUGUGAUGUUCGACUUGUUGUUUCUUUAGCUAUCACAGAUUCUCUAAUUAGCUUACUAUGGCAUAUUUUAUAGGUUCUGUAAUUGCUGAUCGGCGUGAUGAAUUCGAGGCCAAUAGUUCUUAUCUUCCUCCUGCUCGUGCUCAUUAUCACAUCACAGUUUGAGUGGAAGCAGCAGAUUGGUGAGGCUGAGGCAAAUCCGACAGCUACUCGGAGGAGGCAACAGGCACUUGAAAGGGAAGAUGCUGUUAAAGAGAAAGUGAGCACUUGCAUUCUUAUUUUGUUGCAUUGAUGUUAUUUUGUUUAUCAGAAGCCCAAUAAUUUAUCCAUAACAUUUGUUGCAUUGAUGUUAUUUGUUUAUCCAUUUGUCAUGUUCUGACUUCUGAAUAAAUUGAUUUAGUCGUAUAGUACCUCCACACUGAUAGAGCUGAGCACAGAUAUUAAAAUCAACAUCAAAGUGUAGUCUGCAGAGGUUUAGCAAAACCUCUGGCUUUUUAGUUCUACUGGCUUUGUUUAUCAGGUGGUUGACUUAACAGACGAAGGCUUUUUCUGAAAUGGUUACUGCAUCACUCCUUUAUGAAUCUUUUCUGCUUACAGCUUUCUUCAUGUGUAAAUCCUAAUUGUAUAGAUCUGAAUUUGUAACCGACUGAAGUUUUUGCCAAAGGCUGAACAUCUUUGACUUGGAGCACUUGUAGGGUAUGACAUGACAUUUAUGUGUCCUGAAAAUACUCUUAAGUGCUUGUGGCUCAAAAGGUACUAUAAUCCUUUAACUCGUAUUCUUCACGUGCUUUUGAGUUAUUACAGUAGGCCCCAAGCUCGAUAGUUUUGACGGUACGGUAUGCAAGGUUGCUUGCAGUUCAAGGGAUCUGUGGUUCUUUUUAUGUUGCAUCGAUUUGUUUUCAUAUGUAUAAUUGGAAUAUGGUGAUUUUAGUGGCCAUUUUCUAGCUUGCUCGAUGACAUUGCAGUUAACCUUAUUGUCAUGACUAGAGUUAACCACUUUGUUUACAUACUUUUGCUGGAAAUACCUUUGGACUGUGAUGAUAGAAGACGACAAUCAAUGGUUUUGUAAUUCUUGGAUAAAAUGAAAUGGGUGUUUGAUUGUAGUCUUAGGGUUUGAGCACUUUAAAAGCUCUACACCAGUUUCAUAAUUUUCUCUGCACAUCGUGUAGCUGGCUUCAUCUGUCAAGUGAUUCCUACACUGUUGGCCUUUUGGCAAGUCUUGAGGAAGUUUCACCGUUCCAUAUUAGUACCUGUGAAAAGCACAUUUUUCAUUGUCAGUAGCUAUGCUAUUACCUGAACAACUGUCGCCCUCUUCUUUGAUCAUUACUUUCAUAUGGAUUCAAAACAUCUGAGUCUCAGGUCAUUAUGUUAAAAAAACAUUUCAGGUCAUAAUUUAAUGUGUUACUUACAGGUAAUAUUGGCACAAGAGAAGAACAUUCAGCAACUUAACGAGCUUAUCCAGAGCCUUCAGCUUCAGCUAUUGCAUUGCCGGGGCAGUAACAGUACUGCUCGCACCACCUCAAGUCAGUCGACAGUGGAGUGGAGGGAAAGGAAAUGAUUGGUGAUUGAUAACCCCUCGUCCCCUCCCUCUGCUGACAUAGGUAGUUUGCUUCAGAGUAUAACCAAGACAAGAACAGAAGCUCUUCAGGCAAUGGAAACUCUUGCUGUCGCCAUCCGGUGGGCAAUGUUGAUGUACUGGUAUUGUGUGCUUUACAUCGUCACCUCCUUUUGCGUUCUCACCCAGCUUGUACAUGGUUUUAGUAUGUUGGUAUAGGUUACUUUCCUGAUCAAGGUUCGAAUAUGCGCGCCAGUCCUUUUUUGUGGUUGUUGGUUCUUUUACCUCUAUAAACAAAUGUGCUCCAAUCUGUACAUAAUGGAUCAUUUCUUUGUGUUGUGACGGCGGGUUUUCAUGCUCGGCAUGUCGCAGAGCUCUUGAUUCUAUGCAAGUUGUAGAUUCAAAAUUUUCCCCAGCAAAUUUUGUUCUUUGCUGUAUUCAUUCAUGCACUGGCUCCCUUUGUCCUCCGUGAGCGUUCGACAACGAAGCGAAGCGGAGGGUGCAAGGAAGAGAUAAAGGAGCAUUCUCCAAUCUGAAGCAAGGGAUUGAGUUCCACUUUGCUGCAAUGAAGAUAUGUGUAGUGUACCAAGCAUUCUCUUCUCGAUGCGAUUGUGCGUUGCUUUUGUAAAUGCAUUUGAACGACAAAGCCGUGCUGGUUUUUGGAACAUGUGAAAAAACUUGAUCUGUUUUAAUUCGACGAUAAUUGAACCGCCGGUUGCUGCGAAAUUCGUUGAAAUUUAAUUUAAUUUAAUUUCCGGGUCUCAAACAAGCCAAGCACACCCCAAACUUUGCAUUACGCAUGCAUGGCAUGCAAUACGAAGCAAUGAUAAUGACUCCAAACUCUUACGAAGAAAGGGAGAAAAAUAAAAAGAAAACGAAACCAAGCAGCCAAACACUGUUUAACGAUCUAUGAAUCCAAUGCAUGUAGAAUUGCAGAUGCAGCAAGCGACGAACAACAGUUCAGCACCCCUUCUGCGAUGACCGGAGCACCUCGCAGCUGGUCUUCUGGAAGACGACGGCGCCGCCACCGUCCGGCGAUCCGAGCUGCAGGUUGAGCGGGCACUUGGCCUCGAGCCUGCACCACGUGCUGUGCAGCUGGUACUUGACCUGGCCGGAGAGCUUCACCUCGAUGUCGAACGCCCCCUUGGCGCUCUGCUUCCUGUACGCCCUGACGCCGGCGCUGCCGAGCAUGGCGUUCACGGCGUCGGCGCCGCUGGAGAGGCGGAACACGGCGGUCUUCCUGGCGGGCAGGACGUAGGUGGGCGAGGCGACGACGUCGACGCGGUCGAACCGCUGGUCCUCGAAGAGGUAGUCGGCCUGGAGGGACCGGAAGGCGGCGCCCAUGGCCCAGUUGCGGUUGCGGACGGCGAGCGUGAGCGUGAGGUUGUAGGAGAUGGCGGUGGCGGGGGAGAUGGCGACGGCGAAGCGCGUGAGCGAGGCGUCGUCCACCUCGAACGUGGGCUGCGCGGCGUGCCCGUAGCCGAGGACGAGGACGACGAUGACGGCGACCGCCGCGAUGAUGGCGAGGCCGAUGCAGAAGCCGCACGCGAAGCGUUGGUACCGCGGGGCGAAGCAGGCGCAGCAGCACUCGCAGUCGUCACACAUGAUGGAGAAUUGGAGAUGGAACGAUCGGCCGCCUUUGCACGUACCAAUACAAGGUAAAGCUUGCUUGCUGGCUAUGGCGAAGUGCGCGCGCGCGCGUCGUGUGUGACGGUUAUGACAGUUUGUGUUGUAAUAAAUUGUGAGGCCUGUGUAUAUGAUGUCUGUUCCGUCUUAUAUAGGUGUACUAUGAAACGUGAAAUGUACGUACGUACAACGCGUCAAACUUGGAUCGCAAUAUGCUACUACCUUUGUAGGGUCACUUUAGAGCUUUUUCAAAUGUUUUUUUUAAAAAAAAAUCAUUCCCUACCACUACCCAUCCAUCUCCAGACUCUCUUAGGCCCUGUUUAGUUCACCCCUAAAACCCAAAACUUUUCAAGAUUCCAGUCAUAUCGAAUUUUACGGUACAUGCAUGGAGCAUUAAAUAUAGAUGGAAAUAAAAAAUAAUUACAUAGUUUAUAUGUAAAUCGCGAGACGAAUCUUUUAAGCCUAAUUACUCCAUGAUUGGACAAUGUUUGUCAAAUAAAAAUGAAAGUACUACAGUGUUAUUUUGUCAAAUUUUUUUGAAACUAAACAAGGCCUUAGGAAGCCCCUUAUCAGUUGACCUGAAAGGAAAUUUUAAUACCUGUGCCCAUCUAUUAAUCUCCAAGCUCUGCUAUCCCCAUCAAUCUUCUCUUGAGAAGCCAGAAGGAUAACUCUACUUUUACUAUAGUCAUGCCCCUUAAUUUUACCUCAAGCUCCACCAUUACCUACCAGCAUCACUUUUCACUCGCUCUCCACCAGAAUCACUUCACUAGAGAAUCAAAUAAAAGAGUGGAGCUGAAGAAUCAGGGAGUGAGUUCAAUCUCUCUUGAGAAGCCCCUUGAUCAGUUGAUCUGAAAGGAAAUUUUAAUACUUGUGCCCAAAUACUCCAUUGUCUACAAAUGGAAGCAUUUUUAGCAUGAUCCAAAGUUUGUAUGCAGAUGAAAUAAACAGUGGUUAUCACAUUUGAGUUAGUCACAUUAAGGCCACAUGCAUGGUUAUCUUGGCCCAAGUACUGAUUUGAAGUAUGGAUGCAAGGACAGUAUAGUGUUUGCAACUUUGGUAUGAUUGGGAAGCACAAAGACUUAUGUCUUCCUUUUAACUUUGGUUGCACUAUUAAAAGUUAGUCACGACGAAAGUGUGAGCUGAGAGUGUUUGGAUGCACACAUUUGAGGAACUCCCACUAAGUCAAACACAUUUGAGGAAGUCCAAUUGGACGAGAUCCAACUUAAAACGAAGCCAAACACACCGGAGCUCACAAGAGGAAUUUUUAGCUACUCAAAUAUUUGUUACAAGCAGGAACAAUGAAAUUAUGUAUGCAGUACAUCUACUCAUCUAGGACCAGAAACUUCAGAGGUGAUUUAUGGUACGCCAUAUAUAAUGUUUGCCCUUACAAGAAAGAUAUCUGAAAUGUGCAUGUGUAGCUAGGAUGCUGAUGUUAAUCCUCGGAACAUGGGCGCUCCAGGAAAACAUUACUGCAAAGUUGGGAUGCCUUCCUGCAAAACGUAGGCAAUGACUAGAGCAAUCGCAUAAUGAUCAGCUCUUGCUUUCAGUACUUUCUGCUGAAGUAGAGGAUGUUGUCGACGCUGUGAGGUCCCUGGCGCAUUGUGACACGUAUGGAUUGAGCUGCAAUCAUCCACACAUAUGAUUCAUGAGAAACUGCAGGAAAAGAUUGUAACUCAACUAAUCUUUGCCACAUAAGGGGUUAUAGGUGACAAUUGUCCAUCUUCAGGCCCUCUCUUUCCCACCAGUUCUAAACUCAACGUUGCUAUGGUAAUAAAUUAAAUAAAAAAUUUCGAAAUAACUAUUUUGUGUUGAGUUUGGCAUUUGCAACUACUUUCUUAUUAUCACAGAUUCGCAUUUUUAACCUCAAUUGGGGCACCGGUGCUCCAAGUUCCUUGUGCUGAAACUGAAAGUAAAUUGACUGUCUUCCACAAUUUCGUCCAGCAAACAAACUAACUGUGGACUGAAGAAGAUAAUUUUGAUACUUGAUGCUUAAUAAUCUGAUCAUGCUAUCUAAGUCUGUAAAGUGCGAACCCCCCAAAAAAGGCAAUUACCUUGAAAUCAGUCAAGUCAGGGACAACAAAUCUUGGCAACUUUUCAUCAACAAUCACAUAUCCACCUACAAAAGCAGUUAAGCUUUUAAGAUAAUACCUUAUAAAAGGAACGAGUACAAAUAUUUACUCACACCGAUGAGAAAGGAUUGAAUGGAACUAAAAUGACAGCAAAUGCAGCUUAAUAAUAGUUAUAGUAUGAAAAUGUUGACUCGAGAAGUAAGAUCAAGAGUGCAGUGUGAAGAAUGACUUCUUACAGGUGCUCUACAGACUACAGGUACAUUGUGGUGGGUACAAACUAGGCAUGAUCUGAGGCUGAAACCAGCAAAGACAUUACCAUCUAUAGCGACUGCACCACAUAUGCUGAUCUACGUAUAAAAAGAGACUCCAGGUUUGUCAGGUGCCACUGCUGCCUCCUAAUAUUCAAACCAAUAAUAAUGUGGGGUGAUAACCCAGAUGAUUUGCCAAGUGCCACUUGCUCUCUUGGUUCUUUGCUUUAGGAAUUCGAUGCCCUAAGUGCAUUAUUUUUCAGUUACUCUACAAAUGCACCUCAUGUGUAUUUCUGAGAUUUAGGAGACUCCAGGUUUGCAUGUGAGUAUUAGUUGCUUUUAUAUUUAAGCAACAAAUUAUUCUAAAAAUUUCUUCAUUGUACUUGAUAAAUCUGACUAAAAAUUCGAUCUGCCACUACAAAAACUCAAAUUACAAAUUUACGCUGUUCAAAUGACCCAAGUAUCCGGGGACUUGUCUGGAUCUGUUUGAGCAAUGGAAAUACUUUUCCAUUUACAGAAAAAAAGUAUCUAAUUAAUGCAAUACCAUCAUCAGUUCGUUUGGCUCAAAAAUGCUAAUAAUUUCAAUUAACGUCAUUAUGUUUUUCCAGCAGAUGGCCUCGUCAAGCGACAACGAUCGCACACUUCACUCCUGUGAAUUCUCAUUCCAAUAUCUCAAUGAUCACCAAAUCUUGAUCUUGCAAGCAAGGGUACGAAUUGACGAACUGCACCAAAACUAAACAUAGCCCAAACGACAAAGCACGGGCGACCUGGGAGGCUGGACUAGUAGACGGUAAAAUGGUACCUUUGCGGGUGUGGAACCCGGUGGGCUUGCAGUUCUUGCCCUUGUAGUAAUCCCGCGGCGCCCGCUUGGAAGAGAGGAUGUCGAGCGAGGACAGCCGCUUCCGCCGCAUCGCCCGCCCCAGCGAGCCCAGCGUCAGCCCCAGAGGCAUCCUCCGACGUCGCGUCGAGCGAGAAAGCAAGCGACCGCCUUCCCGGCAGAUUCCUGCACAGCACAGUUGAGGGGCAAAAGGAUCAGCGCGUCCCCGGGGAGAUCGGCGACGGCGGCGCGAGGAGGGGGAUGGCGAAGGGGGUCGGAGGCCGUAGGCGGCGGCCCAAUGGGCCUGACUCGCGCGUGAAAGUAAAAGCCGAGCAACACCGGCCCAGAAAGCCUUCCAGCCGUCAAACUGAGUCGAGCUGCCCUCAGCAGUCAGCUCUACUGUUGCGCGUGCACAUUGCGAUCUGUGUGCACACACCUUUCAGUUUCAGUUUCAGGAAAUGCAAUACAUUGAAUCGUUGAUGUUCCAUUAUGUAAAUACAAGUUGCAUUUUAUAAAGCUGUAAAUACAUGUACAUUAGUCACAUCCAUGUUCUCGUAGAUGUGCAUAAUUUGUUUUGUGAUGCUAGUUUUGUGCUCAGCAUUUUUCACCCUCUUUGCAGUUUGUAAAUCCAAAGUUCCCUCUCGAGCAUUUUUGUUCUUUGCAGCUUGCCAACGUUGCACUCGUGCACCUGAUUCCAUUUCGGACAAUGAAGGCAACCGGCAUGCUUCCGCUACUUCUCUUUUUUUUAUUCGAUCGAUUCUCAAAUGCAUUUGUGUAAACGACACAUAUCCCUCCGUCCACGAACGAACUAAUUUCUAGAAUCCGUGCCAGUCAAAUUUUUUUUAAAUUUGACUAACUUUAUACAAAAUAGUAUCAACAUCUAUGACAUAAAAUGCGCAUCAUAUGAAAAUAUAUUCUACAAUGAAUCUAAUGAUACUAAUUUUAUACCAUAAAUCUUAACAUUUUUUUCUAAAAAUUUGGUCAAAGUUUAAAAAGUUUAACUUAGGACAACUCUAGAAAUUGACUCUUUCAUGGACGGAGGGUGGAGCAUGUCUGUCCCAUCCACUGGCGGAGCCACCGCCCGGCCACCCCAGGCGGCCGGCCGGGCUCCUCGCCAAAAUACAAAAAAAAAUCUUCUUUAUAUCUAUAUAAAAUUCUGUGAUUUUAUAGUUAAAUAUUUUUGUUUAAUGAAAAUUGUCCGGGCUCUUGAAAUCUUCUGGCUUCGCCACUGGUCCCAUCUUAUGUUGGUGGUGCAACUAGCUCUGAAACAUCAAAUGUGUGUACAACACGUCAAACCAGGGUCUUAGUGUGUAGUAUAGGGUCUGUUCGGAUCCAACCUACUGAAAAUUAGCACUAACUAUGUUUAUGUUGGUGGUGCAGCUAGCUCUGAAACAUCAAAUGUGUGUACAAGUACAACACGUCAAACCAGGGUCUUAGUGUGUAGUAUAGGGUCUGUUCGGAUCCAACCUACUGAAAAUUAGCACUAACUAUGUUUAGAUAGACUAAACUUGAACUAAUUUAAAAAAUAAUGCAUCCGCGGUGACAAAUUGGUGAGACAAAUCUAUUAAUCAUAGUUAGCUCAUGUUUACUGUAGCACCAUAUGAUCUAAUCAUGAACUAAUUAGAAUUAAUUAAUUAAUAGAUAGAUAGUCACAGAAAAGGAUUAAUUAAUUAAUAGAUUCGUCUCACCAAUUAGUCACAAAAAUUCUCUUCAAUGCCAAAAAUAAAACUAACCAAGCUAAUUACUCAUUUUCUUAGGUGCUAUUUGAGACCGUUUAAUUCAUUUUUCCUUGAGCGCCAUUCGAAACUGCCAAGGAAGUUAAAAUUUUUGAAUUUCCCAAAUGACCUAGAAUGGAGAUAAUGACCUAAUAUAAUCCAAAGUUAUAGUACUUGACAAGAUAUAAAACUUUUUACUUCAAGCCGUUUACAUUUGAAAUUAUUUAGGAUCUCAAAUAUUCAUUAUAAGAUUCACUAAAGCGAAUACAAAAGAAAAGAAUAAUUCAUUUAAUCAUAAGUUAAUCCUUUUUUUUGAGGUGGUAAAUGUGUUUUCCUUGGAGGUUGCUAGCCUUCAAGAAAAAUAAUUUGCUUCACGGUUAGGAAUAUUUCCAUGAAGAUUGUUGGCCCUUAAUAAAAAACUAAUUUACUUGGUGGUUGGAAUAUUUUCAAUCAAUCCUCGUGUACCAUGCAUUUUGCAUGAAAUCAGGGGAAUGUUAAACGAACAAUGACAACGCCGGGCUACUGAUGACGAACAAACAGCACCUCAAGCUCCAGUACCUCUCAGUUCAGUUGACUGCACGUCUGCUCAUCCGAUGGACAGAGUCAACGCCUCCUACUUCCUUCCCACACAACACCCAGCUGGACUGGAGUCUGGAGCUCAAUAAACUCUUGCCCAAAUCACAACCACCCAACAGGAAUCGCAGAGGAAGAGGAUCAUAAACAACUGACAACGAAUCGAUCGUCUCAAAUCUCCACAAAUUUCUACACAUCCAAUUUCACCACUCCUACAAAUACUCUUCCAAUCACACACAACAACAAUCUCUUCACUUGCAAGAAGAAGAAGAAGAAGAAGAAAAAAUCUUGUCUUGAAGAAUUAAUUUUACAGGAAGGAAGCAAGAAACUAGAGAGGUAGCCCACCAAGCAGAAAUUGAGCUAGCCAGGCCACCAAUGGAGAGCUGGAGCAGAGUAAUAAGCUAGCAGCCGGACUUCUUGGCCCGGAGGAUGGUGCACUUGGUCCGCUGGAACGCGGUGGCAGCGACGUCAGGGUCGACGAGCUGGAGCUGAAGCGGGCAGAUGACGACGAGCGGGCACUUGGCGGACCGGCCCUUGUACUGGAGCACCGUGUCGAGCCGCAUCUCCACGGCGAACUUGCCCGUGUCGUUCUCCGUCCGGAACUCCCCCACCCCGGCCUUCGCGAGCUUGAUGGGCUUGUCGACGCCGCCGACGGUCACGCGCACCGUCGCCGUCUUCCGUGGCUUGUGCUGGAACGCCGGGACGGACGCGGAGUCGUCGAAGCGGGUGCCGUUGAAGGAGAAGGCCACGGCGAGCGCGCCGUAGUCGAUGGCGCGGUACAUGUUGGGGUUCCGGAGCGACACCGUGGCGGUGAGGUUGUAGGAGACGGUGGAGUUGGACGCCGGGUCGGCCGGGGACAGAGCGAACCGCUGCAGCACGGCGUCGUCGGCGGUGGCCUUGGGUGGGCGCACCACGCCGAAGGCCAGCACGAGGACGAUGAUGACGGCGCACACGACGAGGAUGGCGACGGUCCAGAUGGCGAUCCGCGUCCAGCUGCAGUCGGAGCAGCAGCCUCCGCCGUUCUUGCCGCUGCACCAGCCCUCGUAGAACGCCAUGGCCGGGUCGGGUGUGGGGUGGUUGGGGGGAACGCGGAUCUUGCCGGGCUGGCUCUCUGUCUCUGAGACUGAGAGAGUGGGGGAAAAGGAUUCUUCCAGCUGAAAGGUGUUUGGUGUUGAGAGAAUCAAUCGCACUGCCCCCCCUCACGGCCUCGCCGAUGGAUGUUGUUGUUAAAGGCUAGCUAAAUGCUAAAGGGGCGGAGGGAGGGCCAGGAGACGACGACGAAGACGAAGACUUGGGCGUGCGGGGUCAUCGCCGGACGCGGAACACGGAGGAAGGAGGUUACGCUCGGAGAAACCCACCCACCAAUCGGAAAUCUUGGAGAAAUGAAAUGGCAAGUGACAUGAAACAGGACGAGAGGAAGGUGACCGUUGCGUUGCGGGGAAACUGGCAGGGUUUUUUUUUUUGGAUGGACGGAGAUGCUGCUGUAAUGCUGUUCACCGGCCGCCGGACGCCGGUAGCCGGUUGGUGGUGCACUUUACUGAGGGCCGCGCCAGCAGCGCCCGUGCCAGAUAGGCACCCGAGGGCUGCGGGUGGACCACCCGAGGGCUAAUAGUCUAAUACAGUUUUUUUUUUGAGGGAGUACAGUACUCCGUAUAUUAUAUAAUGAUGAAGAAGCUGUAUAUAUAUUCCAUAAGGGCGCAGAGUAUUAAAAAACACUUAAACCAAAUUACUCAACCCUUGUUUACCUGCAUCCCAAUCUACCUCAUUGCUAAACCAGUUAAUUUUACCUCAUUGAUAAACCAGUUAAUUUUUACCUUCAAUCCAUCCCAAUACAUAUUAGAUUUGGGGUGGAUUGAAGUGCAACCAAGCAAGCCUAAUAGCGUGUUUCAUUUGAGGUGGUUUAUCAAUCAAUCUAUAACUAUGUUGAUUCCACCAAAAAUCAUAGGAUAAUAAACUUGUAAUGCACCACCUCAAGUAGCAUGAGACCAAAUAUACCCUUAUAUUUUGCUAGCACACAAAGAGAGCCAACAUACCUCUUUUCCCCCCCUCUCCUUCAAAUGAGCUGAAAAUGGAUGAAGCUAUUUCCCCACCCCCCCCCCCCCACCCCCCUCAAGAGUCCGUAGACCAAACAAUUUCUUAAAUGAUAGUUCAAGGUAAUCAUGUCACUGAGGAAUCAGAUUAUCCAGUGGAGACCACUGCUUUGCAGCACAUCGAUUGCAAAAUGUGAAAUCCAUCCAUUAUUAUUGAUACAAGUGUUGAAACAUCUAUCAGGUUUUUGAUAUUCAGCUUGGACUCGGAGCCAUAAUACAUCACAAUAUAAAUAAAUGGCCACAUCUAUCUAUCAGCUAAAAAGAUUAGCAAAUACAAAAUCUGCUGUACUGAAACAAGCCAAAAUUUAGUCUGCUGCUACUUUCUUCAGCAGCCACAUCUGUCACCAAUAGUGUAUCUCUUCUUAACUAGAAUGGACUAUUGCUGAAUCUUCAAGACAGGAAAGGCAAUAACAUCCCUUAUGCUAGAAGAGUUUGUCAAAAGCAUUACUAACCGGUCAAUACCAAGGCCCUGAGGUAAGGUUCCACAAAAAUUAGUCACAGAAGACAUAGGUUCUCAGUAAAUAACUAGCAGUUCCAAGAACAUUAGCAAAUUAGCAAUCGUGAAAUAAACAAUUUAAUCAGUCAUACCAUUCCUGAUGCUGGUGGCAUUCCGUAUUCUAAUGAAGUCAAGAAGUCUUCAUCUAAAGAAACUUCAUAGGAAUAAUCAUCAUCUCCAUCACCCUCAGUAGAUUUCACCUCCUUAGCCAUUGCAGCUCGCUUAACAUUGUGCUGUUUUAUUUGAUUUUCAAAACGGCUCCUCUGCAAUAAAGAUAAAAUGCACAUUUGAAGUUAAAGUGGUCAAGAAGGAUGUAUGUGAUUUCCAUCUAUCUUAAUGAUCACCUAAAUAACAUAUUCCAGGUGUUCUGGGGGAAUUUUAAGCUAUAGUGCUAUAUCACAGACAGAACGUUGGAAGUAAACCAACCACCUUAAUUUGCCUUUGUUUUCAUUUAAGUAUAGCCCACAUUAGAUGCCAGUGGAACAAAGAGAAUUUUGAAGAAACAGAAACUGUUCGUAAUGGUAGACCAUUCUAUACAAAACAAUGUAGUUUUACAGAUUGUCAACUGAAAUAGUGUCAAAUGCGUAAAAUUCCAAAUACUCAAUAUUUGAUACUCUUUAAAGAAAAGAACUUCACAAAGAAAUGCUGCAAAUGAUGGCACUUCGGCAUGCAGUAAGAAACCAGGACAUUCUUACCUGAUCGAUUGGGUCUGUGAGUUCAGAAAACGCAUUGCCAAUCUCACGACCACAGAUGAAAAGUUCGAAUCGCUCAGUAAGGCCAACAUGACUACAGCAAGAGGAAAAAAAUUACUGAGGUGAAAACAAAAGGUCAUAACAUAAUGACAUGCACCAAAACUCUAAUUAAAGAAUUAAAAUAGACAAAACAGCUCAUUUGUAAUGAAAGGUCCCUAGCAUCCAGGAACAUACAUUACAUAAUAAACAGUGUAGCACUAGCACGUGUCAGAAACCAAAACAUUUUUAUCUUGUGGCCUUUAGCAGAGUUUGCAGAUUAGUCUCAGCCGUUUCUAAAGUAUGUGUGUUUGUGCACAAUUUUCCAUUCAUAAGAGUUGCUUGUACAAGGAAAAAAACAGGUUCAAACAAUGAACCUUUGACUUUAAAGUGUCCUUAAUAAAAAAAAAUAUUUCAACAUUGACUGUCGAUUUCUUUGAUGGCAUGGUACAAUUUUAACCACAAAAAUGGAAUAAAAUAUUGUCACUCAACCUAUUUCAUUUGAAUCUCAAAAUAUGUGGGUGCCAUGCAAAAUGAAAUAGGAGUGUUUACCUCCGAUGUGGUUUUGCCAAUGGUGAUAUCUCAACUGGGUAGUCAAGGACAAAUGUUGGUUGUACAAGAGUAGAUUCAACAAAAGUCUCAAAAACCUGGCCAUGAGAUGUAAAAUUGUUAAAUGAGGCUCAUGAGCUAAAACAACCAA
rnacentral:lncRNA from 1 species